UUUUUUUUCUUUUGUGACAUGUACAAUACGAUAUUGCAUCUAAGUCAUUUUUUUUUCUUGUAAAAUAUUUUUUUUUUUUCAGUUUUCAAAACUUUGAAUGGAUUUGUGAAAUAUUUUUGGAUAAAAUAUUAGAUAACAAAAAAAUAUGUAAUAUCUAAAAUAAUGUACACAAGUUCAAUUUUCAAAGGUGCAUCAUACCUUUAUCCAUCCUAUCAAACUAUUCAAUCAUAAUUUGUUAUUACGUGUGGUAGAUUCUUUACUUUCCUUUUAAGUUAUUUUAACCAUUUUUUCGGUAGGCUUACAAAGAUUCUUAACACAUAAAAAUGAGUGUGUCCAUAUUAUUCUUUUAAAAAAAUUUAAAAGUAAAAAACAUCAAACAAAAUUCAAAUUUCAUUUUUUUCUUUUAUCUCAAGGAAAGUGUUGUUCUUUUUAGGAUAUCUUUGUAGCAGGAGUGGAAACAAGUGCAACCACCAUUGUUUGGGUAAUGGCAGAGCUAAUCAAAAACCCAAGAGUAAUGAAAAAGCUACAAGACCAUGUCAGAAGCCACAUAAAAAAAUAUCAAAUAAAAGAAAUGGACCUUGAGAGCAUUCCAUACCUAAAAAUGGUAGUGAAAGAGGUUCUAAGGUUGCAUCCACCAGCUUCACUUCUCCUUCCAAGAGAAACCACAUCUCAUUUUAAGCUUAAUGGUUAUGAUAUACAUCCCAAGACUCAUCUUCAUGUCAAUGUGUGGGCCAUUGGACGAGAUCCAGAGCGUUGGGUUAACCCUGAAGAGUUUUUUCCAGAAAGAUUUAUAGAAAGUAAUAUUGAUUAUAAAUGACAGAACUUUGAGUUAUUACCUUUUGGAAGUGGUAGAAGAGUUUGUCCAGGAAUGAAUAUGGGAAUCUUUAUAGUAGAGUUGACAUUGGCUAAUUUGUUACUCUGUUUUGAUUGGAAAUUGGAAGAUGGAAUAAAAGAAGAAGAUGUAGAUAUGGAAGAGGAUUUUGGUCUUGCUGCUGCCAAAAAAUCACCACUUAAACUUGUUCCCAUCCCUUACUUAGCUUAAACUACCUAUUAAUAAUCACCACUUAAACUUGUUCCCAUCCCUUACUUAGCUUAAACUACCUAUUAAUUUAUUUGUUAUCCAAAUGGAAUAAAUAUGUUGAUCAAAUAGCUUAAACCUUCUUGGUGUAUGCUAUGCAAAUCAAAUGAAGAAGAUAGGAACCACCUUUUCAUGAGCGAAAGGUAUUUGGGAAAAAAGUUGGUGCUUUGAUCGAUCGAUCUUUUAACUUUGAGGAUUAUGCCUCCCUUUGCAAAUAUAUCUGAAGAUCAAAGUCCAAAACAAAGAGGCAUGUUAUCUUCUUUAACAUUGUUGUUGUCACCCUUUGGCCUAUUUGGAUUGAAAGAACUAAGAGGAUGUUCAAUGAUGAAUAAAGAUCGCCUUAUGUGUUGUGGGAAGAUAUCCAAACUUUAACGGUUUUUGGACUAGUCGCUCUCCUAUUUUCAUAAACUACAUUGCUAGUAACAUAACUUUAAAUCUCAAUGCUUUUUAAUUCGGGAUUUAGGAUCUCUUGGGCUUCUCUCUAACCCUUUUUGUAUUCCUUGCUUUUUGUACUAAACUCUUAUUAUUAAUAAAGCGGGAAUGAUGAUGACGUUAAGGAAGUGUUCACCUAAUGGAGAUGUUCUGGUGCACCUACUAACUUAUCGUAUCUUUUUCGAAAAAUAUAGACCACUUUUUUAAUUAUGUAUUGUAAUUUAGAGUUCUAAAAUAAAUGUUUAUAUGAUAACUUACAAACUCUAUAUAUAAUGUAAAAUAUAUAUAUUGAACUUAUCUUAGAAGAAGAUACAUUAUUUUUGGUAUUGGGGUUGGACUUAGUUAUUUAUUAACAUUUGGUUGGUAUGCAUAUUUCAUCCCAAAGAUGGAAAUUUAAUUUCUAUUUCAUGCCUACGCUUUAAAAUUAAAUGUGUCAUUCUUUUAAGUUUAGAGUUUUUUUUUUUUCUAUUAGGCAAUAAUAUAUUGAUAAAAUGAUGGUAAAAAUUGCAACAUUUUUUUUAAGUUUAACGUUCAAUAAUAUGAUGAAAUUAGAAGUGUUGAUGACAAAAUCAAGACAAAAAGAGUCAUUUGAUCAACUUCUACCUGUCGUGAAUUUGUAUUUUGGAAAGAGAUCACUUGCAAAAUAAUCCAAAUAACACAUCUCGAUGUUUACUUGUUCAAAGGAACUCCAAAAAGUUUAAGUUAAUUGCCAUCAUAGAAAGCUUUAGAGUAAGUAAAUUUAAGGAGAUGAGUUUACCCGAUAUGAAACUAUAAAGGAUUCAGACUUCAUUUAUCCUUUUAAGAAUAAGACUCUCUAGAGUCGAUCAAACCACACAGAGACCCUCGUACAGGAGCUAUACAAAUAUAAUUUCCAUUCUAGUCUUUAUCAUCUAUAAAAAAAUGAAUGUCGCAGGUUGGCAAGGGGACUAAUUGGUCCACAACUUUUGAUUGGCAUCUUUAAUUUUUUAAACGGUAAAUGUAAUUGAUGACCAUUCUAUAAAUAAUAAUUAAGAAUAUAGCAACGUUUUUAAAUAUAUAUAUAUAUAUAUAUAUAUAUAUAGCAAAAUUAUCGCUGGUAGACUUGUAUGGUCUAUCAGUAUUUACAACAUGGUCUAUCGAUGAUAGACUUCUAUCACUGAUAGAAUUUAACAAAUUUUGUUAUAUUUGCAAAUUUUUUAAAAUGUUGUUAUAUACUUCAUUAUUUUGAAUUUAAUUACUAAAUUUGUAACUAUCCAUUUUUUAAAUGAACCCAUUGGAUGGAACCUAGAUUUGACUCAAUCCCACACCCUUUUAAGCACAUAAGUAUUAAUCUUUUAACGAAUAACUAUGCGGGAUGCCACAUGAUAGCAGCCAAAGUUAAAUAUGAGUGUGAAAUUAAAAAAUUUGCCUCAUUAUAUCUAAUUUGCUUGUCCUGGCCUUAUAUCGAAACCAAGCAUCAAUUUAAAAAAAAAAAAAAAAACAAACAAAUAAAGAUACAAUUGUGUUCGUAGGUGCAUCCAAGCAUCCCUCCUAGAUUGAUACCUUUUUAACAUUCUUGUCAUCCCCUUCAUCACACGCUUUUAGCAGAAAAUGUUCGGAGAUGAAUAUGAAAGCGCUAAUCUAUUGCUUCACAUUUUGAUUGGAAAUUGCCGAAUGGAAUGAAAGAAGAAGAUUUAGACAUGGAAGAGGAUGACAUGGGUUAACUGUUAUUAAGAAAUCACCUCUUUAAACAGCUUAUUCCAAUCAACUUCUCGAUCAAGAGUUUAGUCUCAAAGUUUUUAGUACAUUUUAUGUUACCAAGUGGAUGAAAAAUUAAUCUCUUGUUGUAUAUUAAGAAAUUAAGGACAAAUGCCAAAAAUUAUCCCUAAAAUAUGGUAGUGAUCAUUAGUUACUAUUGCACCCUUUAAAUUUUUUUUAUUUUUUUAUUUAAACAAUUAAUGCCUCAAAACUUACAUAUUUAUAUAUAAAUUAUAUUUAUCGUAUGGAUUUAGUUUUCAUCGUUUGUGAGUUCAAAUUUUAUAGUUAUUACAAUUUUGAAAGUCGAUAAAUAAUAAUUUUAUAUGAUCUUUCUCACAUGUUAAGGGUUUGAUUUUCAUCCGUGAAUUGUUGUACUAAAAAAGUACUAGCUAAAUGCCUCUCUUUAGUGUUUGAGGUUAAUUUUUAUAAUUAAUUUCAAUAGCAAUGAAAAAUUAACAAAAUCUAAAUAAUUUAAAUUGUUAUUUUUUAAUAUAGCAAAAUAUUAUAACAACAAUAAAUCAAUAUAAACUAUUUAUGAUAGAUUAUGUUAUAUAUUUACAAAUAUUUUCGUAAGUUUUGUUACUUAAAAUAAUUUUUCAUUUUCUUUUAAUUUUGAAAACCAAUCACUAGAUCACAUUAAUUAGUAUAAAGGAUCAAAAGAGCACACAAACUGAACAAAUUAAAUAAACCUUAAAAAUGUAAAUUUUUAAAACUUUUUCAUGAAAUGAAAACAAAACUCAAGGAUAAAAAUGUAACAUAUAUUUUGUAACCUAGAAUUUGUUUUUUAAGCUUAUAUAUAUGCUCCCCAACGUAGAUUUUUGGAUUGGCUACUGUGAACACAUAUAUUUGUUAGCUUCCUUUCAAUGAUUUAUAGACUGAUCUCAAUAAUUAACUUAUACCAGCCUUCUUCCUGCUAAAAAUGGCUAUUGCUGUCCCUUUUAAGUGUGCUGUGUGGCCAUCCUUUAACUAUCAAAAUUCAUGGAGUUUUUAGACGUACCUGGAGAUAUUUUGCACCAGAAUAUAAUGGACCAAUUAUUGUUUUAGAGAAACAAGGACACAGCUUCUACUUAUUCAUCAAUGAUGGGUCCAGUCGAGUUGUAUAUAUCAUCUUUUGUGUUCAAAAAUCAAUCGUGACACACCACACUUAUUUUAAAUUAUUUUUGUAAUAUUUUUUCUUUCCGUGUGUAAAGGCGAGGAAGAGCACGUAAUUCGAAAAUUAUUGCUCUUACUGACAUAAUUUUGAAGUCAUUCCUUACAUAUAUGAUAUUUUGUGAGAUUACGAAACUCAUUGCACUUUGCAUGGCUGAAUGUUAAGAUGACAACGAUCCUCGAAAUCAUAUUCGUUGUUGUUUGAUAUUAUUCAUUUUUUUAAUGUAAUUUCUUAUGGCUUUAUUUAUCUAACAGAUAUAGAUAUUAAUAUAGGUGUUGUGUAAUGAUUUAAAUGAGAGUUUUUCCUACACAUAUAACCUAAAUAUAUUCAUCUAAUUACACAAUUGUCUAAGCAUAUUAAUCAUUCCUCUUUCUCAAUAUUUCAUUACAGCAUAACGCAUGCAAGAUUUUCUCUAAUCGGUGGUGCCUUUCGGGAGGUUACAAAAAUAUAAACUAAACAAUACAAUUCUAUAAGUAUACAAGACCGAAUGUAGAUAGACACAAGGAACUUAAAAUAUGCAUGAAAGGUAAGAAAAUUUUUAUAAAUUUUAAGAAUUAUUCAACAUUGUCAAAAAAAAAAAAAUAUAUAUAUAUAUAUAUAUAUAUGUAUAUGUAUAUAUAUAUAUAAAAGUUCCCAAUAUAUAUAAACUUUGCCCAAAACCUUGGAAAUGCAUUAUUACACUGUUGAGAGAUGAUGACGAAUAGCAUUUUCAUAUGGUUUCCUCUCCUCUCUCUCUUAACUUCUCUACUUCUUCUCAAAACAAAAAAGCUUAUUCACAGCAACAACAAGAAGCUUAUUACGACUAAUCCUCCUCCAAGCCCUCCGAAGCUUCCUUUCUUGGGUCAUUUACACCUCCUUGGCUCCCACCCUCAUCGCUCUUUAUGCAACCUUUCACGAACCCACGGUCCCAUCAUGCUCCUGAAACUCGGCUCCAUCCCAACCGUCAUCAUCUCUUCCGCAACAGCCGCGAGAGAGCUAUUCAAACACCACGAUCUCGCAUCUUGCAGCCGCCCUCGCUUAACGGGAAGUGGAAGAUUUUCCUACAACUUUCAAGACCUGAAUUUAUCCCCAUAUGGCGUGCGCUGGAGAGAGCUUCGAAAGAUUUUCAUGCUCGAGCUCUUUAGUACUAAACGAGUGCAAUCAUUUCAUCAUAUUAGAGAAAAGGAAGUGAGUUUGCUCAUAAGCUCAAUCUCUCAACAAUCCAUAAACUUUCCUUCAAAUCCAAUUGAUUUGAGUGACAAAAGCUAUUCUCUUGCUGCCAAUAUCAUAACAAGAAUUGGUUUUGGGAAGAGCUUUAGAGGGGGUGAAUUAGAUAACCAAAAUUUUCAAAAGGUUAUGCGUAGAACAACUGAUGCCCUUAAAAGCUUCUGGAUUACCGAUUUCUUUCCGAGUUUCGGUUGGUUUGUUGACCGAAUCAGUGGUGUUCAUGGGAAGUUGGAGAAGAGCUUUGGUGAGAUGGAUGCUUUUUUUCAAGAGGUAGUUGAUGAUCGUAUAAACAUGGACAAGGCAACUUCUGGAAAUGAAGAAAACAUUGUUGAUGUUUUGUUGAGAAUGAAGAGAGACGGCUUUCAAUCUGAUGCACUCAUCCUUACACAAGAUUGCAUUAAAGCAAUAAUCAUGGUAAUAAGCUAAAUAUUUUAAAAUUUUGAUCAGGUGGUUCUAUAUUUUAUAAUCAUUUAAUUCUUAAAAAUUGAUUAGAUUUUUUCACAUACGAACAUGAUCUUUAGAAACAUUUAAAUUCUUAAUAGGUUUCUCCCAUUGGAGCUGUCAGAUAUUAGCAGAAAAAUAACAAUUCAAUAUAAGAAACACACACAAAAUUACUUGGGUCACAUGAAAAUUUUUAUUGGAAUAAAGUUGCAUAAAUUAGAUGGGUGCAACCUUGCCAGCGUCCAGUUAUUUUUUUAGCAUGCAUCACAUAUUUUCGUAUGCAUCACUCAUUUUCGUGUAACUCAUCUAAAUGUGUCUAAUUCCAAGUUAGGAUAAACAUUUUCUUUUUAAAAAGAAUUAUCACUUUAUCUAGUUUUUCUUUUGUGGUAGGUACAAUAUGAAUGUUGCAUUUAAGUCGUUUUUUUCUUGUAAAAAAAUAUUUUUUUAGAUUUCAAAACUUUGAAUGGUUUUUUGAAAUAUUUGUGAAAAAAAAUAUUAGAUAACAAAAUAAAGAAGUUAGAUAUGAAAUAAUUUUCAAAAUAGAAAUGUUUAGGUGCAUUUAUAUCUUUUUGCAUCCUAUCAAAUUAUUUAAUCAUAAUUUGUUAUGUGACAAAUUCUUUACUUCUCUUUUAAAUUAUUUUAAUUUAUUUUUUUUAGUAGGCUCAGUGAAAGAGUCUUUCACAGUGUGUCAUAAUAUUAUUCUUUUUUAAAAGUUUAAAAACAAAUAAAAUAAAAAAAUCUAUCAAAUGAAAUUCAAGUCUCAUUUUUUUUCUUUUAUCUCACGGAAAUGUUGUUCUUUUUAGGAUAUCUUUCUAGCAGGAGUAGAAACAAGUGCAAACACCAUUGUUUGGGCAAUGACAGAGCUAAUUAGAAACUCAAGAAUAAUGAAAAAGCUACAAGACCAUAUCAGAAGUCACAUAAAAGAAGAUCGAGUAAAAGAAAUCGACCUUGAAAAGCUUCGAUAUCUGAAAAUGGUAGUGAAAGAGGUUUUAAGGUUGCAUCCACCAGCUCCACUUCUACUACCGAGAGAAACCAUGUCCCAUUUUAAGCUCAAUGGUUAUGAUAUACCUCCCAAUGCUCAUCUUCAUGUCAAUGUUUGGGCUAUCGGACGAGAUCCAGAGAGUUAGGUUAACCCUGAAGAGUUUUUUCCAAAAAGGUUUAUGGAAAGUAAUAUUAAUUAUAUAGGACAGAAUUAUGAGUUAUUACCUUUUGGAGGUGGUAGAAGAGUUUGUCUUGGAAUGAAUAUGGGAAUCUUUACAAUAGAGUUGACGUUGGCUAAUUUGUUACUUUGUUUUGAUUGGAAAUUGGAAGAUGGAACGAAAGAAGAAGAUGUAGAUAUGGAAGAGGACUUUGGUCUUGCUAUUGCCAAAAAAUCACCUCUUAAACUUGUUCCCCAGCCCUUAGCUUAAACUACCUUUUAGCUUAUUUGUUAUCGUAUUUAUUUGUUAUCCAAAUGGAAUACUAUAUAUAUAUAAGAACUUAUGUUAGAAGAAGAUACAUUUUUGGUUUUGGGGUUAGAUUUAGUUAUUUAUUAAUACUUUGUUUGUAUGCUUAUUUCAUCCCUCAGAUGGGAAUUUAAUUUCUAUUAUAUGCCUAAACUCUUUUAAAAUGAUAUGUUUUUUUUUCUUUUAAGUUUUGAGUUUUUUUUUUUUUUUCUAUUAUCAACAAUUGAUCAAGUAAGGGUAAAAAUUGCAACAUUUGUUUAAGUUAUUUAAUGUUUAAUUAAUAUGACGGUGAAGUUAGAAGUGUUGAUGGCAAAAUCUAGACAAAGAGAGUCUAUUGAUCAACCUUUACCUGUCAUGAAUUUGUAUUUUGGAAAGAGGUCACUUGCAAAGUAGCCAAAAUAAUUAACACAUCUUGAUGUUUGCUUGUUCAAAGGCACUCCAAAGUUUUAAGUUGAUUGUCAACACCCAAGGCCCUAGAGUAAAAAAUUUAGGAGAUGAAUUUACUCGAUAUGGAAGUGUAAAGGAUUCCGACUUCAUUUAUACUUUUAAGAAUAAGAGUCUCUCUAGAGUUGGACCAAACAACACUGAUACCCUCUUACACAAGAGCUACUAAUAUGAUUUCCACUCUAGUAUUUAUCUAUAAAAAAUGAAUGAAGCAAGGGGUAAGUUGGUUCAGGUGUCCCCUAGAUUUUUGACCCAAUUCCACACCUCUUUUUAAGUGCGUGAUUUGUUACAUUUAGACGUGAAACACACUUGGUCUCUCGAGAUCAAUUAUGGCUCACGAACAAAUAAUAGCCCCACAAGACUUGUGGGUAUGGGAGGAAGAUAGAAUGACUUUAUUGGACAUAAUUUCUCAUUUUCUCAUAUCACAUCACCAACCUCCAAUUAGAUUCAAAUCCAAAUCCCUACGUAAUACAAAUUCUAUGUUGAAAAAGGUACAUCUUUUUGGUUGAAAAAGGGACUAAAGUCCCAAGUAAGACCAAAAGAGAGUCACUUAGGCACGGCUUAAAGAUCUAUCGUUGAAAAAGAUUGAUUAAAAAUAUAAAAAUAAAACAAGCAUCAUGGUAUUUUAAAAUAUAGUAAAAUAAACCAAAAUAUCACAAAUAGACGUGAUAGAUUACUUUUGAUAUUUUAUUAUAAGUGUACAUAAUUUUUUUCAUUUAAAAUAAUUUUUCAAAAACCUUUAUUGAAAAUUGUCAAAAAAAAAAUUAGCAAAUUUAACAAAAUAUUUACAAGUUAUAGCAACAUUUCAAAUUUUAUCAGUUAUGUUAUACCUUAUAGAUAUUGUAAUUUAUUUUUCUAUUCUAAGAUUUCUAUCGAAAUCAAAAGUUAUAAUAAAGUAAAAUAACGCUUCAUCUACCAGUAAUCCGUUGUCGUCCAGCGGUUAGGAUAUCUGGCUUUCACCCAGGAGACCCGGGUUCGAUUCCCGGCAACGGAACUUCUUUUUGUUGUUUCCCUCUGACCCCCCGGUUCCCAUUGGGCAGUUUUUAGAUUUGGAAGAGUUUAAGAAUCUUGAAAACUUUGAUGUAUUUAUGUUUAUAUGAAGCUUUUGAGUUUUCUUUCCAUUAUUACUAGCCAUUUGCUGAUUAUAAGUGGUAGCCUCCACUUUUAUGGGUAACUUGGCCUCUCAUUCUAGUGUCCACCCUUUGAAGUCUUGUGGGUGGUGGUUUCAUGGUAAAGCUAGGAAUACAAUCAUUUGGAACAAGAUAACUACUUCUUUGGCUUUGUUUUAUGAGAUGUAGAAAAAUAACUUAAUUUUCAUUGUCAAAUACAUUAUUUGUAGUUUGAUGGGGUUCAUUGCAUUUUUGAGAGGCUGUUAAAAUACUGCCCACUUUAAGAAGUAUAGACACUGACAAUCUUCCAUAUAAGAAGAAGUUGAUAUGCUGUUAAAGUCAAUCUUCCAGUCUUCAUCUCUUGGAAUUCUUGUUGAUCAUGAGUGAGGAAUCAUGUACUUUCGCUCCAAAUAUAAUAACGCCAAUAGCUUUUGGGAAAAAAAAGGUUUAGAGGGGGUGAACUAGAUAACGGAAAUUUUCAGCAAUGUGAAGUUUCUCCAUGACUGACUUCUUUCCUAGUGUGGGUUGGCGUUAACAGGGGGGUGGAGAAGAGCUUUGCUGAGCUUGAUGCUUUUUUCGAACAAGUAAUCGAAGUGACUUCUCAGAAUGAAGAAAAUAUUGUUGAUGUUUUGUUGGAAAUGGAGAGAGGUCACUCCGAACUUGAUAUGUCUUACAACUAACUAGAGAUGCAUGUAAAUUUUUUCGAACACUCGCAAACAUUUACUUUUUUUUUACUUGAUUGAAAUGAAGCACAAUGUUGAUAUGCCUUAUUUUUAUUGAAGAUGCUGUCAAAAAAAUCUCGACUUUACAUUUUAACUCCCUAUAGACCAAGUACAAAAAAAAAAUUGAGUCAGAAUUCAUCUAUUUUAAUGAUAUCUUAUCUGUCCCCAAGAAGGUAGAAAACUUAAGCAAAGGAAAAAAGAAAUAAACAACCAAAUUCCACCAAAUAAUCAGAAGAAGCAAAAGCAUGACACUUGGUUUUGACAAGGUCUCAAUGUUUUGUUUUACAAGUACUUUUGAUUAGAACACCAGUAGGAGGUCCACCAACAAAUAAAUGGCAAUAACUAUGCAUCCAAUAAGAGUAUCUCAGCAAAGUACCAAAAUUAGACCUUGCUCUGAAAAUCCCUUUUAGCUCAAGCUUAAUCCCACUUAUCUCCAAUUGUUUCUGCAGUCUUUGCCUUUCCAAAAUUGGUAGUCUCACUUGACUUGAUACCAUAUGAAUAUUAAUCAACAUUGAUUCUUCUUUGUAUGCUGAGAAUGGUGCUAUGAAUUGGGUAGCAAUGAGUGUGUUUCCGUAGUAAAGAUAGAGUAUCAUUGAGCUGAAAUCCACACUCACUUUCUUGUUUGGAUUUGUGAAGUUUGCUAGUAAAUUCACGUCUGCAUUUAGUAGAUACCCCAUGUCGAGAUAUGCUGCGUUUAGGUUGGCUGUUGAUACAUCAAACCGUGGAGAUUUGGGGCGGAAAAUGAGGUAUACAAUGAGGAUUACUAAUCCUCCAACGAUUACAAGCACCCAAAAGAUUGCACAAAAGACUGCUCCAAACCACAUUAAUGGAUUGGUUUGACGGGGUAGAGGCAUAAGUAGGAUGUCGUUCGGUUGAUUUCUUCUAUUGUCAUUAUCAAUGACAUCAUUCCUUCGAUGGCGAUAAGGCUCUCGUGAAUCGGAUGGGUCUUGAAUUUGCACUCUAGGACGUGGUUGUUGCACAUUUUGUUCUGGUGAUUUUAAGCUUGGCCCUCCAUAUGGAACUUGAUGCUCCUUCUUCAAGCGUGGUGCUUUUCCAUAUGGAUCUUGAGGUUGGCGCUGUAGUGGUUCGCGGUGGUCAGAUGGCGGCGAUUGAGUGGGCGGUGUAGGAUAUGAUGGAUUUUGACGAUUUUUCUUCAAACGUGGUGCCUUACCAAUAGUAGGUCGUUGUUCUGCCACUGGCCAUGGAGUGGUUGGUUCGGGAUCGGGCUGUGGCGGAUCAGAAGAGUCUUGAGGCUGUAAUGGGGGUUGCUGAGAACGCCGGUCAGGCUGCAAAGGUCGCCAGAAAUGGGGGUUGGUUUCAGGACGAUUCAUGUUGGGAAGAAGUGUGCAGCAGAAAUGAAAGGGGAGAGAAUGGAAAUGAGUGGAAAUUUGAUGUUAAGCCCAUAAGAAGAUUGCUUUGGUAAAGAGAAUGACUUGAAUAUAACUUCAAGAAUGAUUUGUGGAAAGGCAAAGUAUCAAACACAAGCCAACCCUGAGAGGCAACUCAUCUGCCUUUACGCUUAUAGACUACCUAGUCCACUACAUGUGCCUAAAUAUUCUAGGAUCAAAUCUACGACGACGAACCUGAUUGGCGGCCAUGACGACUAGUUCUCGCCAUCAAAAUCGAGAGUAUACGUCUAGAUUAAUUGAGUUAGCAUCUAUUUUAUAUCAAAACAAAGGUAAUAUUUUGAAUAGGAUUGAAUUCAUCUUGCGUUUCUUUCUUUCUUUCUUUCUUUCUUUUGCAAAUUGAAAAGAAGGCAAGGUAUCUUUCAUAUUGAAUCCAACUUUAUCAAUUGGAUUUAUAUAUAUUCUAUGUCUUGCCCACUCUGCAUAGAAUUAUAUCAAUGGAACUUGACAAUGAAUUCAAUUCAUGGAUUUUUGUUGCAAAUAGAUAAUACCUUAGAUACUUCAUGAACUCUUACAUAUACAAAUACAAAUGUAGAUUUUUUUUUCUUCUGCAAAUUUUUUAACUAACCAGAAAUAUACCUCAACACAAGUUCUCUUGAACAAGUUGGGAAAGAAAAAGGGUAACAAUGUGUAACCCAGAUCUAACUUGUUUAUAGCAAGAAAGGGCCUCAACUUUGAUCUUGAUUCACAACUGCAUUGCUGUUGUCUAUGAAUUCUAUCGUUAGCGUGAUGAUGAAAUGCAGUCCUCGGUCCUCGAUUCUCGAUUCUUGAUCCCCAAUCCUUGUGGUUUUGAUGUCAGGCUAAGCUUCCCCAACCUAGCUUAGGAGGAAAAGAAAUAAAUAAGAGGAUAUAUAUUAAAAGUAAAAGUUUUUCUUUUUGUGGAAGAAAGUGAAAUGCAACAAAUAGAAGAAUAACCCAAGGAAAUAUGAUACACACCAACAUGUCAUGCAACCACCUGUAAAUAGAACGCUCCUAAACUCAUUUUUGAUAACCAUUUGGGUUUUGGGUUUUUUGGUUUUUUAAACUUAGUGUUGUUUUCGUAUUUUCUUAUUAACAUAUGGACUUUAACCCAAAUGCCAAACACAAGAAUUUUAAAACUACGGUCCCGUUUGGUAACCUAUUUGUUUUUAUUUUUUUAAUUUUGAAAAUUGAACCUACAAACAUUUCUUCCACUUCCAAGUCUCUUGCUUUGACAUCUAUUUUACCCAUGUUAUGUCAAAUUUUGAAAACUAAAACAAAUAAUUUUAAAAAAGAAAAAUGGUCUCAAAAAAUGCCAAAGAGAUCAAGGUGAUCCAUGUCGCCACUUAAAUAGGAAUUAAUUUCUAACGAGUUUCCUAGAUACCCAAAUGUUGUAAAGUUUGACGGGUUAUCUCAUGAGAUCAGUCAAGUUGCACAUAAGUUGGCCCAACACUCAUAGAUAAUUAUUAAAAGAUAAUGAAAAUUAAUAUAUAUAUAUAAACAAAAAAAAUUAUUUUUGGAAUUUGGCUAAGAAAGUAACUCUUUUACACAACAUUGAAGCAAACCAUAGAAAGAAAAUAAGUUUAAUUUUUAAAAUUCAAAAACAAAAAAAAAAAACAAAACAAAAAGGUUACCAAACGAGACCUACAUUUUUUAGAUUUCAAAACACUCAUAAAAUGUAAAACACCACCACCACAUAGGAACCCAUAGAUGAAAGUGGUGAUAAGCUUGCUUUUCAAAAGAAAAACCAAAAAGUAUCAUGAUUGAUAAUGCUUUGUUAACAAGCUUUAAAUAAUGAAAAUUUCUACACGAGAAACCCACAAAUUCAUUUGGUGGUUGAUAAUGCUUAGUUAACAAGCUUUAAUCUAAUGAAUAACAACGAAAAAUACCUGACUUCGGCAAUGAUCACAAGUCCCGAGAUGGGGUGGACGGUAGUAGGAAUUUGACGAUGACAUCAGCAGGGAAAUUUCCUCAAGACAGGUGCAAUGCCGUAAAAUUAUGCACUUCCAUGUACAAUUAUAACCCAACCCCUCCAGGAAACUCCAACCGGUUAAACGUAUGUAUAAGCAUGCAACGUGGAAUGGAACACCAGAAGUCAAAGAGCACGUCCAAGUCCCCAAGAAAGGAAGAUCGAAUCUGUUAUGAAUGAUAACAUAAACUUUAGAUUCCAUAUUAGCUCUUCUUUAAUGAACGUGAACUAUAAAUCUCCCUAGAAGAAAAAUGCCCCAACGAUUUUAAAACUACAAAAACAUAUAAUUAAACAGGCUCAAGUGCAAAUGGAGAGAAAUGAAGUGGCUAACCUUGCAAUUGCCAAAGGAUCUCCCCCAAUGAUACCACAGAUGAAUAGUCACAUUGCAUCAAAAUAUGAUUUAUAUCUUUAAGAGGCCCACUUGAUUCCUGUGCAAAUAAUGUGCUUAACCAAGUCAAAUCGUGCAUUAUUUUUCUACCCAGAAGUUCUUUUCAGUAGCAUUGAGAAAUAUAGGAAUGUGAAUAAAGGAUAGCAAGAAUGGGUUGUGACUUGUGAUGAUAUCCCACUUGACUUUUGAUAGUAAAUUGAAAAAGAGAGAACAUGAAACGUUCAGGUUUUGACAAGUUCACUAAACAUUCCUUUUCAUUCUAACUAACCACCAACCAACUGGCAAAAAUCUAGUUGCCAACAUGUCAUGCAAAGCUAAAGUACUUUUCCUUGACCUAGUUACAGCUAAGGUACCUUUCAUUUUUUUAGAAGGUACUUUUCUGUAAUCAUAGAACAUUAAAAUGUGAAGAGUCUGAGGAAAAGGUAAUGACACUCUUUAACUAACUAGAAUUACAUGCAAAGAAAUGGAAGAACCUUAAAAUUAAGAAGACAGACAAAGGUUAAAAAUAAAAUUAAGAAGAAGAUAGACUCCACAUAGAGGAUAAAGGAGUUCAAGAAAAAGUUCAUGGCUUCAGCAAAUUCUUUUGCCAUGGGCCCAUAGGAACAUCCUUCAAGUAUAAAAUUCCCUAUCAACUACAACAUUACAAAUGUGAAGGACUAGUCUUUUUUUAUUUUCUUUUUUGUUUUUUAUAGGAAGGUUUAGUCAAUUGUGAACCGCCCAUGCCAAUGUCUCAACAAUCCACGAGGCAUUUAUUAUGCAAUAAAAAGUUGAAUGAAACAAUAUUCAGGCAAAGAAAGAUGGCCAUAGCUCCAUAUAUCUGAUGGUGUCUGGUGAUGAUCCAAACUUCUUAAACAGUACAAAACUUGUAGGCUCAAGUUUUUAUCUAGUUCAUAUACACGUAGAAUCAAGCAACACAAUAUUUAAGCAUGGGGAACUACUUUAAAAACAUGGCAAUGGCAACUAAGACAGAAAAUAGGAAGGAAGGUUUGAGUACAAACUAGUUCCAUAGUUAACCAGCAUCCCUUGACCGAAUAGCCUUAAUGAGAGUCUCAGAUAGAAAUUUGUCAAGUGUAUACCCCUUCUCCAUCAUCUGAUCCCAGACCUGGCAAGCUAAAGAAAGUUCCUUUUUGCGUAAAAGACCUCCAAUUAUCAGUUUGAAAGUUACCUCGUCGGGAUAGCAUCCUCUAAUUUGCAUUUCCUCAUAUAGUAACAUAGCCUCACUAACUUUGGAGGCCUUGCAAAGCCCAUUUAUAAGCGCAUUAUAUGAAACCACGUCAGGAGAGAUUCCUAUUUCUAUCAUGUCACGAAAGACACCUUGGGCCAUUUCAAUCUUCCUUGUCUUACAAAAGUAAUCGACAACUGUUGUAUAAAAUAUGAGAUCGGGUAUCAAAACUGUCUGUGUCAUUGUUUGAAGAAGCCCCUUCGCUAUAUGGGGGCUGCCUUCAAUAAGAAAUGCUUUUAUAAGAGUAGCAAAUGUUCCCACAUCUGGAGCAACAUCCUUCUGGCCCAUUUCCUCGAACAACCUGUAUGCUUUUCUAGUUGCAAAUGAUUUGCAUAAUGCACCUAUCACAGUAUUGUAUGAAACAGUAUCACACAACCCUUUUUCCCACAUUGUAUUCAUCAAUUUAUAUGCCUUAUCCAGCCUAUUAGCUUUGCACAGCCCCUUAAGAAGUUGAUUAUAACUAUACACAUCAGGCUCCAUCCCUAUCCUCUCCAUCUUUUUCAUAGACUUUCCUGCCAACUCUAACAUCAGCCCGUCGCAGAAAAAAUUCAGCAAAAUAUUAUAAGUAAUCAAAUCUGGCUCACAACCAUGUUUACUCAUAAAUGAUUUGAUAGCCAGUGCCUUGGAGAUCCGGCCAGACUUACAGAACCCACUCAUCAAUGAAUUAAAAAUCAAGUUGUUGAACUUCAUCUCACCCUUCAUCUCACCAACCGUAAGCUCAUAAGCUAAAUCGACCUUUCCACCAUCACAGAGCCCAACAACGAGAGCUGUACAGGCUUUCAUGUCUGGACUAAGCCCCUUGUUAACCAUACAACGCCAAAACUCAACGGCUUUAUCAUAUUGUUUGGCUUUGCAUAAUCUAUCAACUAUGAUAGUGUAUGUUACAACAUCAGGUUCCCUUCCUUUCGCAACCAUUUCAUCAAAAAAUUUAAGAGCCAAUUCUAACAAGUUCUCGCGGAAUAAGAGAUUCAAAUAUAUAUUAAAUGCCCAAAUGUCAGGAAGAUAUCCAAGUUGUUUCAUAUCUUCCAAAAGCCUUCCAAUAAGCCCGAAAUUCUUAAUUUCACAUAAAGCAGAAAUGAACCUGGAAUAAGUAAAUGGGGUAAGAGAAAAACCCUGUGGUAUCAUUCUUGAGUAAUAGCUUUCCGCCAAAUCGAAACGUGAGCGGCUAAUCAAAACACCAAUGAAGCGAUUGUAGUCUCUGCUAGUUACAGGGCAAUCGGAUUGAGUCAUUUCAUCGAAUAUCCGUAUGGCUUCAUCAAUUAGACCAACCUUGACGCACUUGGUGAUACUAGCUCGAAAGACAAGGCGGUUUGCGCCGAGUCUGUGAUACAUAUCAGAGUUAAUACAUGUCAAGAGAUAGGAAUGCUAAAGCGAGAAAAUGCUGAAGCAUUCCCAAGAAUCCAUUAGAGAAGAAUUUGUAGAAGCUCCAAACGGUUUGACUGUUCAGUGAAAGAGAAUUGAAGGCUGAGUUGCAGAAUGAUGGAGGAAGAACCUGGCGAUGGCGGAGAGGAAGAGCUUGAAGAAAUGCUUAAGCAAUGGGCCUUAAUUUUGGGCCUCAAAGCAUUUUCGUGUAAAGUGGAUCCAAAUUGAUAUACAGGUGGCCUGUAUUCCUAAUGGGCUCAAAUUUUGGGCCUAGACAUUUAGGUACAUUGUAGUCGACGAGUAGACUAUUCGUUUUUGAGAAUGUUCAUCUUCAUUCUUAUAAAAUUAAAUGAUUAAAAUGGUCAAAGUUAUAGGUUAAUAUUUUUAAAAUAUAGUAAUCAAAUUCAACUAAAUUUGAAAAUAACUUAUUUGAAAAGUUAUUUGAAAUCAUUAAAAUUCUUUUCUUUUUGUAAUUAAAAUUAGUUUAAAAUACACUUCUAAUCAUUCAAAAUCCAACGUCUAAUUUUACAUUUUAAAACACAAUUUCAUACUAUUAAAAUAAAUUUUAAAUGAUUAAAAAACAAUUUCAAAAUAAUUUGAUUAUUUCAUAAUUACACCCGAAUUCUUCAAAAGUCAACCAAAUUGCAAUAUCACAAUCUUUUAUCCAUCAUAAACUAUGUCGGUGCUCAAUUUCUUCUUUGGUACGUUGUUAUUACAACUUGGACUCCAUUUUUGAAUUAUUUAAAGAAUGCUCAACGAUGACCAUGAGAAUUUUGGUGGUUCAAAGUGUCCUUUUAGAAUAGAUUAUAUUUAAAUUCAUUUAAAAUAAAUUGUCCUUGUUCAAUGAUUUUUUUAUAAAAGAAAUUAGUAAACAUGUACAUUUAUGAUUAGUUGUUCCAACGAAUCAAACUAUGACCAAGAGCAAGUUCAUCUAAAAUUGUAAUAUUUUUUCAUAUAAAUAAACACGAACAUGAAAACUUGACUUUAAGAAACUGCAUAAUGCACGACCGACAUGGAUUGUUAUCUCGGACUAAGAUUAUCGACUUUUCUUUUCUCUAAAACAUGAAAGUGGAUGGACCAGAGAUUGGAGAAGUUGAAUGAAAAGGAAAGAAGAAGGGUAAAGAGUCAAAUUUGAACAGCAAUAUAUUGUGUGGAGCAAUGAGUGUUGUUUGUCCCUUUACAUUUUGAACAAUUGCUACUGUGUACCAUUCAAAUUGCCACCACAUUUCCCACUUGUUAUUGCUUUCAUUUCUAUUUUGGGCCGUAUGUCUUAUCUCACAUGGCCCAAUAUUUCCUUUGGGCCCAAUGUCUCCACAAACCGCCCAUUCCAGGGCCCAUCAUUUCCUCCCCAUUAAAUGCAUCAUAUCAUGUAACCUUCUCCGGGGUAAAUACUAUACUAUAGAUUUAACUGUGUGGACCUUGAUUGCACCCUAAGCUAUGCAAUAAGAUUGCAUGUGAUAAAGAGUUGUUGAUUGAAAGUGUUUCUUACUAUUUAACGUAUUGAAGCGUUUCAAUCAAGUGUUGAGAAAGUUCUAAUGCGUUUUGGUAGUAGGCGAUCUAAGAUUCCUUAAGGAAGUAGUUAACGGUGUCAUUUCAUAUGUAUAAAGGGCAAUGCCCAGUUUUAACCUAGAUGCUCACUGAUGAUUAGAAUUUGGAUGAUGAGAGCUAUGUGGAAGAACGUGAUUUGUUGAAACUCGUUGUUGGGUAGAAGUAAUCAUUUCGGCUUGAAAAUUCUCACCGGAGAAGUGUAUAAAUAAGAAAAUUUCGGAAAAUUAGUUUUAGAGUCUAAUAAAAACUAUGAGCUAAAGUAAGAACCGAAGAAUUUAUAAGGUGUUAGAAGAUUUUUCAGAGUUAUUACGUGUUCAAGGUUGACACGAAGUUUGACCAAGUGCUUAUGUUUAUUUAACAUUGCCAUUUGAUUUAUAAAUGAGUAUGUUUUGAAAAAUGACUAUGAUGUAUGCUUUGAGAAUUAAGUUAACCAAAACUCUCUCAAUUCUCUUACACGCACUCUUGUUCACUUGUUUUUAAAUUCUUUCGCUGUGAAACUCAUUCCAAGUGUUUUGUGCAUUAAUCUCUAAAGGCUUACUCGGCCUCUUUGACAUCAAGAUAGUCCAAGUGUCGCAUGUUUGGUUAGCUGAAAACUAUAACCACGGGACAAAACACCCCUAAUCGACCUUCAAUCCUUUUAGCUCACUUUUAUUUUGAAUUUUCAUACGUUGUUCUCUUAAAUAUGUAUUUUAUGAUAUUUGUCAAUUCGAACAUAUUUCAAUAAAUAAUUAUUCUACUUGGCUCUUAAUCUUUUCAUCUUAAUUUUACUUUGAAUAUUUGUGUGUCACUUUCUUAAACAUAGAUUUGAUGAUAUUUAUCCAUUCGAGCACAAAUCAAUUAAUAACUAUUUUUUAUUGUAUUUAUUAUUACUAUUCCAUAAAAACAUAACCACCUUAUGUAUUUUAACAUAUUUUACCAUGAAUAUAUGAUAACUAUUUGAAAAUAAUAAUAAUAAACAACGAAAAAAACUUUGUUUAAAAAUUAAAAAAAAUACUGCAAAGGACAAAAUUGUUCAACAUAUCUACAAAACAAUAAAUUUUUUUAUGUUUAUAAAUGUUAUAUGAAAAUUUACUAUAUUUCAUAAAUAUUAAAAAGGGCAAGGUUAUCCAAAUAAAUAUUUAAAUGAAAUUCGUAAGAACAUAGUCAAAGUUUCUUGAAUGUACAAAAAUGGGCCUAACUCCCAACCAUCAAACCAAGUUCUUGAUUUAUAUGUAUUUAAUCUAUUUGGGAAUCUAUUAUUAUAUAAGUCUAUUUUCCAAAAAUGGCAAGAUAAUGAAGUUAGAUAAAUGGAAUUUCAAUUAUUAUUUUAAGAUGGGAGAUUUAGUCAAACCAAAUUUCAUUGUUUACAUUUCAUAUUUGGCAUUUUCUACAUAUCCUAUUACAAUAUUUACAAUUACUUGUCAUGAUCUUCAUUCAACAUUUCACAUCAACCCUUUUAAAAAACAGGGUAAUAAAUAAAUAUAUACUAUUUUACUUUAUAUGUCGAUCUUCCAUUUUAUUUUAUUAUUUAAAACUCAAUUUCUCUUUUUGAAUGUUUUAAAAAAACAACGGUUUAACUUUCAAAUUUAAUCUAUAAGGAUUUGAUCUCUAUCCUUCAGAAUUGCUAAAAUUGAGUUCUCAAUAUGAAAACUAAAAGAAAAACAAAAACAAAAAUCAAGAGUAAUCUUUUAUAGAAAAUUGACUGAAGAAGAUAUUAAUUUAUUACGAAUUCUAAAGGACAAAAAUUAAAUAAUUAUGCAUUAAAGCAGAUGGAUUGCAUAAUUAGAAAUUAAAUUAGGUAUUAAGAAAGUCCUAAUUCAAACAAAAAAAAUGAAAAUUCCUAUGUAUAACUUCUUUAACUUUUUUUUUUUUUUUUUUUUUGUUAUGAACGCUAUCUAAAAAAUAAUUAGGAAAUUUUGUUACUAUCUGCCUGUUAAUUUGCGACAUUAAAAUAUAUAUAUAUAUGACCAAAACACAAAAGAGACAAAGAAGAAAUCCAAUGGUAUGGCCUACACACUGUGUGAAACUUAUUGUUGUUUUUUAGUGCUUAAUUUCCAAAAACUAUGCCAUUCAAAUAAGUUGUUUUCUUCAAUUGAAAAGUAUGCAUGGAAAAAUCUAAAGCUUCUUUUUUUUUAAUUCUUUAUUUUUAAAAGGUCAAAGAACAGCAGUAGAAAAUAAGUGCUUCUAGCUAAUAUCAUAUUAUUUAUUCAGCUUUCAAACAUUUAUAUUUCUGAUUUCUGCUUAUUAUUAUAAGGAGUCCGUGACUAUGAGACUUCUUAUUCAAAUUAUUCCUACUAUUUUAUUUUAUUUAUUCGAUUUAGUUUAAUUUAUUAUUCAAUCUACGGCUUGAAAAUCAUAUGGGAAAGUAAUUGGAUAAAAACGAUGAUUUCGUAAAUAUGUUGAUUCAAACUUUUUUGACAAAAAAGAAAAAGCCUACUUUUUCAACAUGUGAACUUCUCAAGUAUUAUACUCAUUUUAUGUUUUACAUUUUGGUUCUAUUAUUGAAGAAAUAUACUUUUCUUUUGUCCAAAAUCUUAAAUUUAAGUUCUAAAAUAUUGCAUUUUUACUUACCUCCAAGUUCUAAAUCUUGUUAGUCUCUAAUUUUCACUUAGAAAGUUUCUAAGUUUCAAACCCUUUGACCCUUAAACUAAUCUUCACUUUAGGUUGUGGUAUGAGCUUUCAGUUAAUUGAUUUUAAAUGGUUAUGAUGUAAAACGUUUAAAUUAAUUUAACAAUAUAAUGUUAGUGAAAAAUAAUUUAAUUAUAAUGAACAAAAUUCUUGUACACUAAUCAAUAGACAUUUAAAACAAGGACUAAAAGUGAGUAUUGGUUAGUGAAAAAUCAAAAGUUAAAAGUGAAAUUUGAAACCUAAAGAUCACAUGUAAGCAAAAGUCAAAAUUCAAAUGUAAGAAUAUGUGACGAGAGAAGCUAAGAACUAAACAAAAGUUAAAUUCAAAACUCAAAAGGCAAAAUCUAGAACUAAAUUAAAACUAUACUCAAAAUAAUGCAAGUUGGGAGACAUUCAAGUAUUGCUCUAAAGGUAUUUCUCCAUAGAAAAUAGUCUAAACUUCUAACGUACUUCUUGUGUGAUAAUAGUAAGAAUCAGUCUAAUAUCGUACUCUGAACUCUAAAGGUAGCCCAAUUGACAAAAAAAUAGUUGCUAUAAAUAACUCAUUAGCCACCCACCCCUAAGUUCAUAAAUAAAAACAAAAAUUGCUUUAAAUUUACUUUAGCUGAAAUAAGUUACCUCUCCCAUCAAUUUCCUUUUUCAAUAAAAUCAACAUUUUAAAUUCAAAUUAUAAAAAAAAAAUGCACCAAAAAGGAAGAAAAAAAGCUAAUAGAAAUUACCAACCAUUUUCAGUCAGUCAAAAGAGCCAGAAGUAGAGAGGUUGGUAACCUUCUUGACCCCCAACCAAAACCUGCCACGUAUACAGAAUGUCAAAAUAAAAACCCGAACAGUUGGGUAACCAUAGCAUCGCUCUCACCCUGGAUUUCUUAAUUAAUAAUAGUAGUCCAUUAUUAUUAUUAUUAUUUAUUCAUUCUCUUCCAUUUUAUUUUUUAAGAAAAGGUGAAAUAAUAAAUGGCAUCACAAGACUUGACAUGCAUGCAUUCUAUGACCAUCCCACAACGACGUGGCUCUUUGACUCUCUCUCUCUUUCUCUCUCUCUACAAAGAGAAGCAAUUUGAUGUCAUUGGCUUGGUCCAAUUUGUGCGUCUAAGACCCAAAAAGCUUUCUUUUUUUUUUUUUUCCUCUCUAAUUUGGCCUCCUCUUUUCAAAGUUCCAUAACUCUGCUGCUACUCCUAUGCAAAUUCCAGGCUUUCGAUUUCUCGAGUAAGCUAUCCAGUUUCCAACAGUUCUCUAUCUUUUCUUCAAAUUGAUAGCAACUUCUCUUCUUCUUUUUUUCUUCUUUAAAUUUUCUUUUCCUAUUCCAUUCGACUACUCGUCUCUGUUUUUCAUUUUAAUUUCGGGAUUGAAAGAAACACUUUCUGCUGAACGUGGAAUUUUGAUUACUGGGUCAUACCUCCAACUCCUAAUCAUUUUUUCUCCUCACCUGACUAUUUGAACAGAGAAUUUCACAAUUCUAGAGAGAGAUAAUUCUGGUGAUGGUGUUCGUUGGGGAAGGAGAUGGUCAAGGGUUUUAGGUGAGAAAAGGAAAAAAAAAAACUGAACGAGGCGGAAUUUCAAUAGCAGCUUAUGAUUUUUUUUUUCCCCUAGAAAUAAGCUUCAAAUGAAUACGAGUCAAAGAGAUGUUAUAGAAUUUUGAGAUGGAUGAAGAAAAAAGAGGAGGUGGGCUCGCCGGUUGUACUCGGAAGGCGUUUUUUCGGUCGGCGUCUUGGACUGACCGGUCGCCGUCAAAGCCUCAUCAUAGUCGAAGUUUAGUGCCUAAUAGUAAUAAAGCUCGAUCAUGUUUACCGCCGCUGCAGCCGCUUUCAAUUAGCCGCCGGAAUGUUGAGGAGUGGCCACGAGCAGGUUCUGAUGAUCUUGGCGUUUGGCCAAACCCAGAAACUCCGAGAGAGUUUGCUAAUAAGUCGUCUCAAAGUUCUGAAUGUGAACAACCUGUGAGGGAAUUUCAGUUUAAGAAGGAUAAACUUGCGUUUUUUGAUAAGGAAUGCUCAAAGAUUCUUGAUCAUGUGUAUUUAGGGAGUGAUUCUGUGGCUAAGAAUCGACAAAUUUUGAGGCAGAAUCGGAUUACUCAUGUGCUGAACUGUGUUGGGUUUGUCUGUCCCGAGUAUUUUAAGGGUGAAUUUGUGUACAAAACACUUUGGUUGCAAGAUAGUCCUUCUGAGGAUAUUACUAGUAUUCUCUAUAAUGUGUUUGAUUACUUUGAAGAUGUUCGUGAACAAGGUGGUCGGGUUUUCGUGCAUUGUUGCCAAGGAGUGUCUAGGUCGACUUCUCUUGUGAUUGCAUACCUCAUGUGGAAGGAAGGACGAAGUUUUCAUGACGCUUUUCAAUAUGUAAAGGCUGCUCGAGGGGUGGCUAAUCCAAACUUGGGUUUUGCUUGUCAAUUAUUGCAGUGCCAGAAGAGAGUACAUGCAGUGCCUGCUAGCCCGAAUUCAAUUUCGAGGAUGUAUAGGAUGGCUCCACAUUCAUCGUAUGAUCCGCUUCAUCUGGUACCUAAGUUGUUGAACACUCCAACUGUUCAAGGACUUGAUUCUCGUGGGGCAUUCGUUGUGCACGUUCCUUCAGCAAUCUAUGUUUGGAAGGGGGAGAAGUGUGACUCUAUGAUGUUGAAUACAGCAAAGGCAGCAGCAUCGCAGGUUAUCCGAUAUGAGAAGGCAAAAGGCCCCAUCCUUGGCAUCAAAGAAGGUGAAGAACCAUUAGAGUUUUGGGAUGCUCUUGUGAGUGGCCAAAACUCAGCUGAUAGUUCUGAAGGGAAAGUUCAAAGACUUGAUAGUUCGUAUACCAGAGAAGAUCGCAUCUUGAAAAUAACAAGUGUGAAGGUGGGUGGAAGGAAAGUUGAGGAGUAUGAUCCAGAUUUUGAAAUCUUUCACAGGGCGAUUUCAGGUGGUGUUGUUCCACCUCUCGAUCGAUUCAAUACAGAAUCAGAGAAUUUUCUUCCCAGUAGAGAAAAUGGGUGGGACUCAACCAAAAGGAAGUUCGAAAAUGAAACUUCAAAAGAUAUUGUCACAUCUUUUUCAGAAUUGGAUUGUGACACUAGAGCACCAUUUGAUGCAAUGGAUGUGACAGCAAAUAUUGAUGAAGAUGCAGAAGUACCUGUUUCUUCAAUUGAUCUUGCAUCUCCACCACUUUCACCGACUGCCUAUUUGUGUGGUUCACCUGAAUCUUUUGACCAUUUUCCAAAUAGUAGCUCGGAUCGGGGAAUAGAAAAUUCUAACAAGGAAAGCUCAAUCCCAGACGAUUCUUUGUCUUUACCAAUUCAUCCUCUGGGAUCACCAGAUUCAUUUUCCUGUUUUCAAGGAGGUACUAGUCCAAAGGUUGGAACCAAAUCCCCUUCACUAUCUCCCUCUACAUCUGAUAAUUCUAGUUCUUUUACCUUUUCACCAUCAUCGUCUAAUUGGUCCGACUUAUCAUAUACAUCUUCUCGGCAACCUUCACCAUCUGACAUGGACUCGUUGCAUCCGGCUGUUCAAAACUCUUCCAUCAUAGAUAAUUUUUGUUUACAUCACAAAGAAACACAUCCUAUCUUUGUAGAGUCCUUUUCCUCUUAUCAUCCUACAUUAAAGCCAGAAAACACCAAUUUGACGUCAAGAGGAGCCUCCCCUUCAAUUGCAGAGCGUCGAGGGAGUCAUCCUCCACCUAGGAUGUUGCUGCCCUCCAUUGAAGAAGCCUGCAAGGUUCAGAGGAAGAUAGUUCGAUCAUCGUCAUUUUCUUUAACCGACAUAGACGAUGAUCUGUUGGAGAUAUCUGGGUGCAGACAAUCCAAAGAUAAAAACAGUUGUAAAGUUAUGAAUUUCGAUAUUGACAGAUUUGGAGCUUGCACUGAAUUAGAAUGCAAUUUUGAGGAAGGAAAGCCUCUGGUAUUUUACCAGUGGCCUUCAUUGAGUAAAACAGCAAUCAAUCAACUUAAAGGUCUUAAUUCUAGAUCAGUGUAUAUGUUGUUCGACCCAGAUCUAAAUUUGGAUUCAAAUGGCGGUAACAAACUAUUUAUCUGGUUGGGGCGUGAAGUUUUGCAUGAAAAUGAUGACAGUCAACCGAAGAGUGACUACAGUGGUUGUCUCCACUGGGAGAUGAUCGGACAUAUAUUCAUCAAUAAUAAGGGAAUUCCUAGAGAUACCCGAAUACAGGUACGUAAACAAUUAUUUCAGAAGAUGUUUUUUUCUUUUAUAGAGAAAUAUGUAUAACAUUUAACAUGCUAGAGCAAGUAGAUAAUGGAAGACAAUCUUUUAUGCUAUUUAUGAUGAGGGGAAGUGUUUUCCUAUAAGCAAAGAAUUUUUAAAAAAAGUGUAUUUCCUUAGGUUAAUGGUGUUUUGGUACCUAAAUUUUGAACUUUUAUCUGAGUCUACUUAGUUAAUUUAGUUCAUGAACUUUUAAUUUUUUAAAAAAUUAGAGAUUUAUUAGAUGUUUAUGAAAGUUCAGAUACAUUUCUAAAAUAAUUCCUUCCUGAGUUUUAUUAUUUUAGUAAAUCAAGCACACUGCUUGCAUGUAUCUAAGUAGUCCGUAACUUGUUGGGUGACAACUAAAACCUCUUGUCAAGAAAAUAUGACCUAGUUGAAUUAGAUUUUAAGGCCUACUAGUUAAAUAUUGGAAGAAUUUGACUCGAUCAGUUAAUAGGAUUCUUGUACUACUAGCCAUACCCUUCAACAUAGGAUUUAUAGGUUAAUCGUCCUUUUACCUUUCAAUUGUUAUGUUUAUAUAUAUAUAUAUUUCUUUCUUUUCUUUCUUUCUUUUUUUUCUUUCUUUCUUUUUUUUUUUUUUUUUUUUUUGUGGAUGUUAUUUUAAAUGAAAAUAUGCAAUCAACUCAGUUCGUUUUGUGGAAAAUGGUGUGUGAAUAGGUAAUAAGAGAAGGGGAAGAGCCCGAGGAGUUCCUUGCAAUUCUAAACCGUUUAUUACCUCAAAAAACGGAAGAUGUUGAUCUAUGGUCUGCGAAAACAUGAUGGACUGUGGCGAUGGGCCUUCCAAAAGGUAAAACUGGCAUCCAGAGCAGAACUGAUGUGAUCUGCUUGUGAGAUGUAUAUAUAUACGUAGAGAAUCCAAUCCUCCAAAGAUCAUGUAUAGACAAUGACGCCAUCAAUAGUCUGAAUUUACCCAGUGAUCAAAUGAGUUCACCUGCUUUUGAAGAAAUGUAGAUGUGAGAUUAAAAAUUCAGAUCUUAAACGAAAAUCUUGUGUUAAUUAGAUUUGCAAUUUAGUCCCCUUUGUUGUCGAAGUGAAUCUUCAGAUGCUAACACUACAUAAGAUAAGUUCAUACUUAGACUAUUUAUAUAGUUUCACAAGAUAUAAAUAUUAAAGCUACCGAUAUUCCCAUGUAUAUAUAAUUUGAGAGAGCUGCUUUCCAUUUUGACAAAACUACAGAUUUACAUCCUUCGAAGCUCCAUCAACAGCUUAAAUAAGAUUUGACUGUGCAGGACCUUAGUUGGUCUGGCAUAUAAUUCUACUCUGGUCGAAUUUGUCACCCAUUUCCAACCACAAAAUGGCACUUCCACAGUUCGCAAAUCAGUCUGAACUUGCAGAUUCCAACAAACACAACCUCGACAAGAACGUGUUUUCUGGGCAGCAAAUGUACAUGUACGUAGUUUGGACCCAGGAGAUUUUUCUUAGAGUUCUUUUUGAGAUCUUAAGAGAGCCAUUGUUGGACCAAGGGCGCUGCCUCUGAGUGCUCUAUAGGACCAAGACUUCCUUCCUGAACUGUCUUCUUGAUUCCAACCAUUGUUCUUAGAAAGUUCCACUUUCUUUGCACUCAGAGCCUCGCUGAUUUCAUCCCACGCGCUUACUUUUCCAUUACCUGAAGACCAAGCAUAAAAUAGCCGAUUAAACAUAUAACCAGCUACCUAGUAAACUAAUCGUGGCAUGGCUACAAACUAUAGUUGAUACCUUGUCUAGUGUUGUUGGCAUCUACAUUGUUAUGGACAUGCUUGGAACUUUCUGCAAUUUGUUUAGAAGUGAUUUCCUGGUUAACUGCAGUUCUCGAAGAAUCCAAGUUUCCUUGCCUGAUAAUCCGAAGAUCAACGAGAGAGGCAAAAUCUAUCUGUUGAAGAUCACUAUUUGUCAGUUCAUUGCAAUCAAGGAUAAGAAGCAGAUUUAGCAUGUGCAUGCUAGAAUUAGUGGCUCCUAUAAAUAACCAUAACGUCCAUAACUAUGCUUCUGUUCGUAAACUACAACCCGAUUGUUAAUUACAUGUAUAAAUGCCAAUCAUCUGACAAAUUGAACGGAAAAAAUGAUUUGGAUCAUGGCAAACCAAAGAAUAUGCUUGUCAAGAAUACCUUUAAAGAGCCAUCUUCCCCAUAUGGGGUUGUAUCCGGUUGUAAUUCAGAAUCCUCGUCUAUCUCCUUCUUCACAGGUAGUGGAUAUUCUGGAACUGGUAUGAGCAUAAUCCGAUUGGAUUCUGUAUCGUACCAUGAUACUUUUCCAGCCUGAAAUAGGAAAAGUAACUAGAAUAACACAUGGGCUGUGGUAACAAAGAAUCAGACAGAAAAUCACAUUGUAGAUGCACUUUACUCGAAAGGAGGAAAUCUCAGGUGUCCAGGUUGAUGAUAACUCAAUCAAACGAUAUGCAAUUAAAUCACCUUCCUGCAAUAAGUAAAACAGAAAUUAUAUAAAACUAAAGUCUAGAAUAAAACAAUAGUUCCAUGAAUAAUACCUGUUAAAUUGUUUAUUAUACAAAUUUAGUUUUCAAUUAUUAAUUGAUUUGAUAGCCAACUGACGAGUUGCCAGUCCUUUCCGCAAGAUCCUCUUUUAUAAAGAAUCAGAUUGCGCUUAUUCAAGAAAUAAUGUUUCAUAAUCAUACACAGAUAAAAUGGCAGCAAAUAAAUAAUUUGAUAACGAAGUAACAAAUUAUAUUAGUUAAAUAAAUACAUUUUUGCAAUCAAACACAACAUAUAGAGUAAAAUUCCAAUCGGCCCUUUGUUUGGCACGUGUUAAUCAAUAAGAAGUUUGAUAAUCAUUCGGUUUUUCCUCUUUUUGCAACUAUGAAAAGUAGCUGCCUACAUAACUAUAUAAAAUUUGAGACUUAUGAAAUUGAGCCAUAAAGAAUAAGUUGGGACUUGGGAAAUGAAAAAUGUAAUUUAAUGAGAACUGCUAACAUGGCUUGAUUAUUCCACUUCGCAAAACGUGCAUGCCCAACUAAACACUUAAGAAAGCAAAUGGAAGCUAUCUGUGCAAACCAAACCUGAGGCAAGCCAGUGUAUGGUCGAAGUUCAUCAAAAUUUAUUGAACCAACUACAGGAACCGGAGUUUUAGGUUGCUCAGUUUCAGAAAGUAAUUGAAGAGGUUCGCUGCUACAAUCGUUAGAAUUGUUCCUCUUCCAAGAUGGAGUUUUCUCUUUGCCCCAUUUUUGGCCCUUCUUUUUGUUGGUGAUGCCAUUCCAAUGCAAUGUUUCCUAAAUCACAACAAAUCAACAAUAAUUGGCUUCAGUGAACUUCAAGAGACAGAAUAAGAUAUUGCCAUAUUGGAACAUCACGGAUACCUUAGGGAAAUGGUUUUGCUUUUCCUGCCCAGCCUGAUCCGUCACAACUGUAAUGAAAUAUAAGUGCAAUCAUGAAAAUCAUAACUGUGUGAUCCAUGUAAAAGUUGAAAUCAAACAAAUAUAACAAGAAAGCAUACACAAGAUAUCCCACCCCCUUUUGGACCUUAAAAACUGUUCCUACCAAUGCCAAAGCAUACCAAGUCUAAAAUAGAAAGAAAUCACCCAACCUUUUCCAACUGGCUCAAAUCGAAUGUGACCUGGCUUAACUACCACAGGAACAGUGUCAUCAUCCAUAUCAACAUCAUCAUUUUGACUUGGCCCUUGUUCUAAACUUGUUUCAAAUAACUGUUGCUGUUGCUGCAAAAAUAUAGUUAUCAGGCAUCUACACCUCAAGAGAGUUAUGAGCAUAUUUGCCAAUGCUAUUCUAAUUCUACAUGAGCAUUUUUGUCAAUUCAGUAGGACAUACACAUGAACUAUAUGUAUGACAAGACCAAGUAGAGCUUCAGCUUUACACGUUCAAAAUGAUAAAAAUAAAUAAUAGAUACGUGACAGUUGUUUUCAACAAAGAAGAAAUUUAUACCCACCCCCAGGACACAAUACACAUAUUUGAAAUGAAAAACUGCCAUUUGGGACAUAAAUUUACCUCUUCAUUUUGAGCUCUUUCCCUCAACCAACGCCUUUUUGCCUUCUUACGGCGAGUACUUCUACUAGGAACCUGACAAGAAAGAAAAGAAUACAAGCACAAUAAGUUAGAUGAAUGAUAACACAGCCACCAAAAGGGAACAAUUGAAAACAGUAACUGUCUGAAAAGAUUGAAAAUCCUUGGAUCUAGUUAUGAAUUUCAAAGUAUUUCGUUCCGUUCUCUGUUGCUAAAGUCAAACAAAAGGAAACAACAAAGUUGAAACUGAAAUUCUAUUUCAUUCUCUAUACUCGCCUAAAGCUAUACUUUGGUAGCAGCAACAGCAAUAAAAAACAAAAACACAAAAAUUUUGUCAGAUCAAAAUGAAUCAGAUCUGAUAUAUCUUUUAGAAGUAAAUUUAUCAUAACUAAAGAUACUAUACUGACGUAUAUAACUAAUCCAAAGUACAAGCAAUCAUUCCAAACGGAAAAAACUACAUUCUACAAGUGUAAUUAACAUCAAAAUUAAAAAUGGUAAAAACUGCUAACAAAUAACCACAAUUUUUAACAGCCAUAUAGUGAUGAGAGUAAUAGUAAACAAUUCCCAUAAAUACAAACCUUUUUACUUUCACCAGCUGUGUCAGACAACUCAACAUGUCUCCAGCCAGCUCCAAGCUGAUCAACCCUAAACAACUAUGAUUUGUAAGAUAUCUUUCUAACCAAACAGGAAGAUGAGAAAUAAAGUGGUGCAACAAUAAAAAUAUAUAAGUAUAGAAAUAAAAAUAGAACCUAACCGAUGAUAUCUCAAACAAUAACGAUCAUUUGCAUGAAGCUACGUGGUCAAGGAAAAUAGCAAAGUUUGACAAAUUGUCAACAACAAUUACAAAUAACAAAAUCAAAGCCCUAUUAAACGACCAUUCCCAUAUCAAAAUACUAAUAAGAUGCUAUGAUAUAAGCAAAGGAAAAUCUAAAGAAGGUAGUAUGAUGAAGCAGUAGAAGAUGCUAAAUAUUUCAAUUUCGCAGAUUUCACUACCAAAAAAAUCAGUUAAAAGAAUUUCACGAAGCUUGGAAGUUCAUUCCCAUUAUUAUAAUAAAGCUGCAGGAACCACCUCUCUGCAUUGGUAGUUGACUUAAUAAUAUUGUUGCUUCUUCCACCAAUUUCAACGUUGCUGGAUGUAUCGGAAUCACAUUCACUAGAACUGCUGGAUGAAUCCUUUUUGCUUACUAGGACCUUUUGUGGGAGGUCAGACUUCAGAUGGUUUUUUUCUUCAUGUUUUUCAUCACUGUGCUGAACAUCUGCUACGAUAGUUGGAAAUUCUUCAGUAGGGGAAGAUUUAUUUUUCUUCCUCCUGUAAUUUUUAAAUUUGAAAUAAGUACCCAGAACAUAUAAACUGAUUGCAAAAAUUAUAAGCGUUAAGGAGAAAUUGGAAUUAACAAAGUAUAUACAAUAACUAAUCUUUAUAAGCACAAAAGAAGAAAAGGAAUUAGAAAGCAAAGUGUACCACUUGAGUUCUGUUAAAGAAGACGGAAAACAAGAAGUAUAAAGAACAUAAAAACUCAAACAUGGAAAUAUUGCUAGAAAACAUAAAGACAGUUGUAGCCAUUUUGAUGAAGAUAAUAAGUUAGAUUAUUUUUAAAGUUUCAUCACAUUGUUAGUUGGAGGAUCCAAGUUGACCAAAUACCCAUCUUCUAUGCCAGAAAAGGCAUACUUAUUACUAGAUAAUCAUGUUCACUCUCAGUGCUAGUCUCAAUAGGCAUCAAAAUAUCAGAGUUGAUACAGGCACUAUACGUACUUCGACUUGCGAAUUAUCUUCGAAGCUUUCCUUUUUUUGGACACUUUUUUUCCUACUGGCACAGCUUUCACCUGCAAAGUAGCAUUAGCUUCAUCUUCCUCUGAUUGACUCUCAUACCCAUUAGAUUCAUUUUCAAACUCCUUAUCAGCGAGAAGUUUCACUCCUUUGUCAACAGGUUUCCUCUCCCUGAACUCCUCGGUUUCGAUCAAUCUGUUACCGCCACCCAGAAUAGUUGCCUUACUUUUCUUCUUCUUCACUCUGGUCAACAAAGAAGUUUUUAAAUUCCAGCAAAAGAGUAAAUGAAAACACAAACAAAUGUCACUCACAAACCAACCUGACAAUGUCCUUAUCCUUCAAGAUGCAAACUGACUCAAAUGGAGGUAACACAAAGCCAUCCAUCUACCACAAAAACAAAGACAAACAAUGUUCCAACAUUACGAAGAGUGAAAACAAUGAAAAGUAAAGCAAGAGAAUAGAGAGAGAAAACAAAUUCGUUCCACAGCGAAAAUUUCCAUUUCGUUUCUACAAGCGAUUCAAACUUAAUUCGAGUAGACCAGUUGAGCAUAUAGAAUCGCAGAUACUUCCAGGAACUUCAUCCUUAGACAAUCGUUGAGUAAAGUAACAUGAUCACAGAGAGAGAGAGAGAGAGAUCUUACAGAAAGGAUGACACCGUUGGGACAAGCAUCGUGAAGACAGAAAAUGGAGAGGAUGUAGGAGGAUAAGUCGGAAAUAGUUCGGAGAUGGGGUUUUAGGACAAUCCAGCUCCGGCUCAACCCGGUGAGGGAAUCGGUGAGUAGGUCCUUGUCUUUGAACGAAACUCGCAGUCUCACAGCCUCCAUCAUGCAGCAGAGAGGAGGAAAAAUGGCAGCGAAGAAGGUUGAAGUGGCAAUCGGAACAAUGGAGUGCUGAGUUUCGAUGUUGUUAAACCCCUUGUGCGUUUACAAUGUCAGUCUAUCGGCGGUCGUCACUCGGCCACGGGCAGUGGAAGGUUGUGUUUAGGUUGUGUCUUUUCGGCUUGGUAAGUUUUAAGGCGAACUAUAUAAAAUUAAUAAUUAAUUUUAGAUAAGUACUUACUUUAUAAAAGGAUUAAUUUUUAAAUUUAAAAAAAAAAACCCUUAAAACUGUUUAGUUUAGGGCCAAAAUGUCCCUAAAUUUUCUAAAAAAAGUUUCAUAAAUACUUUUAAAUUUUCAAUCGUGGAUUCAAAAUACAAAUGUAUGGUUAAUUUUGAAUUAAAAUGUUGAAAUUUUGACCACCAUUAAAAAAUUUAUAAAUAGUAAUUAAUUUUUAGAAAAGUUAACUUUAAUUGAUCUAAAAUUUACUUACCCACCCAAAUUUUAACAUGGUAGUUUUAAAUUUACUCAAACAAUAAUUAUUAAGGUAGUAAAUAAAUAUUUUGUUAUUUUUAAGUAAGUAAACAUAUCUAUUGUUUAUAUUAUUAUUAUUUUAAUAUUUAUUUAUGAUGAUUUGGGGAACUUUUUACGAUAUAAUAAAAAUAUUAAUUUAACUCUUUUAGCGAUAUCAAAUCCAUGAAAAAUGUGAAAAUGAAAAAUGUGAAAAUAACUAUAGAAAUAUUGGUUGAACGUUUAAUGAUGGUUUUAACAUUAAGUUUAACAUUAACAUUAAAAAUCAUUAAUUUCAGUCUUUUUUUUCUGUAUGUAUUUAAAUAAUUUUGUUAUUUAUGACAAUUCUGUUUUUACUUAAAUCUCUACUUUCAUGGUUAUAAACGGUGUCUCUCUAUUUUAAAUACAAUAGGCUUCUAAAAUUAAGCUUAAAAAAAAGUUGUUAUAACAUUAUUUUUAAAAACCUAAAUCUUACGUUUUAUUACCUUCCUUGUAACUAAUGCUAUUUAAAAGUUAUUCCAUACUUUGGAAGGUAAAUAAAUUUUGUUUUUAGAAUUUCAUUAGUUAUUCCAACGUUUUUAUUUAAUGAGAGUCAAAAACCAAAGUUACAAAACUUAUUCCAUACUUUGGGAGGUAAAUAAAUUUUGUUUUUAGAAUUUCAUUAGUUAUUUCAACGUUUUUAUUCAAUGAGAGUGAAAAACCACAGUUACAAAAUUCAAUAAACACAUGUAAAAAUUUUUAAAAAUAAAAUAAAAAAUGAAGUCAUUUUAAAUCGUAGUGGAGUCUUUUUCAUUUUUUGUUCGUUUGUUUUUUUAAGAACAAAAUAACUAAAGAACCAACUUAGGCCAAAGAGUAAGUCAAAACAUUAUUUCAGUUGACGAGCACAAGUAAAAGAGACAUAGCUCAAACUCAUUUGUAUAGGCUUUAGCCUAAUAGAUGAAAAAAAAAAAACUAUUGUUAAUUAUGAUAUUCACAUGUUAUAAUAUGUAAUCACAAGUAUAUAUCUGUAUGUAUGUAUCGUAAUAUUAAUAACAUAUAAUACAUAUAUAACUCAAAUUUCUUUUAAAAAAACUGUAGCCUAGACACAAUCCAACUAUUGCAACUUACAAUUUUAGGUUGAACAGUCUAAGUUGUUUGGAUUGCAGGUUAAUUUAAAUAUACGUAAUAAGAGUUUACUGCCUCAUUUUAUGUUAUAUGUGAUUCGACAAGAUGAAGGAAGAGUUAUCAGAACUACGGAGUUGCCAUUUUUAAUAUAUUUCAAAGUAUGAAAGGUCUUUAAGAAACUAACGAAAGAGGAAGACAAAGCGAUUUGGGUGGAAUCCAUAGGAGACAACGAGAAUUGCUCAAAUAAGUGAAAGAGAAUGAUAAAAAUGUUCAUUGGAGCCCAACUUCCUCCUGAACAAAUAAACUUCAAUGGAACUUUUAAGAGCCAGCGAGAGAGUUAAGAAGAUCAUUUGAAAGAAGUUGAUGUCCAAGGAGCAAGACGAUGCUUGUGAAACUAUAGAGUAGUGAUCUCUCCUCUUUUCCACCCACGUAAAAAUCUCAUGCCUACACACCUAAGCAACAAAUCAAGCGAAGAAGAUGGAGUUAGAAAAAAGUUAUAAAAGAAACAUAACCAAAUUGCUCGCAUCUUAUUUGAUAACUAUUUCGCUCUCCAAAUUUCUUAUUUUUGUUAUCAAUUUUCUAUCGACAUCUUCUAAAACCACGUUAAGUUUUAAAAACUUGAAAAAUGUAGAUUUUGGACUAGAGUUGCCUGCGUGUUAUUAUUGUGUAAGGGUCACUCUAACAAGAAUCGUUCAAAGGAACAAAUUUGGAUGAAGAAAUGUGGAGAAAAUAAACUUAAUUUUCAAUACUAAAAAAAAACUCAAAUUUACGAUGGAACAUAAAUAAAAUUAUAAAAAGGUGAAAACGAUGGAAAAUAUAAUUUAAUUAAAAAUAGUGAGAAUAAUUUGACUUUGAUAUUACAGUUUGGCUCAAAAGACUAAAUCCAUAUAUGAAUUUUGGAUUACAUUACAAUACAUUUCAAUUCAAUUAUGGGUGUCCAAACACCGUGUUCCUAAAAUGGAAAAAAGCGUCAAUCUCUACUGUAUGUGUUAAGAACUCACAAUUUAAAAUAAUCGAUACAAUGUUUUGUUGAUUUCUUAAUUUCACAAAUAAGCAACACUAUAUACUAUACAACUUUUAAAUUCUAAACUCGUGACUAUGAAAUGAAUUUUUUUUACACGUGACUAACUAUCAACACAGCAAAGGUUAUUGUUAUCGACCUAUUCAUGAAACAACAACAUACUAAAUAGAAAAAAGUUUAGUUUCUCAAAUCUAACCCCUCUCUUAUAAGUAUGUCCCUAAUAACGUUAUCAAACAAUUCUUAAAAUAUAUUCUAUCUAGUUUCUUACAUACAAAUAUAAACAGUAAUCUAUCUUAAUUUAUGAGUGUAUUAUAAAAUUUUGUUAUUUAAAAUAAUUUAAAAGAAAAUGAGAGGGAUUGAAAACUAUUUUGAAUACUAUUAGUAAGUAAGUAUACUCAAGUACUUAACUAACUAUAGAUCCCAAGAGAUCAUGAGGGCCCUGUGAUUGGAUUACAAAGCGAGGCGACGAAAAUACCCGAAACGAAAAGGUAAUUUCACAUAAUGUCCUUUUAAGAGUUAGGCUAGUCUCGUCUCGAUCCGACUGAUAUCCACCAUCUCACAUGGACCUUGGAAAUCUUCAUACAGAGAAGAAGAAACCAUACCCAACUGAAGUUCGUUCCACAACAUAAAAACGAGCUCACUCAAUAAUUCUGGCUUUCACUCCAAAGCGAGCCAUGGUUGAGCUCAGGCAUUCGAGCUCGCUUGGGAACAGAGCCACUUCUUCCCCAAUGAAGCGGGACGAAGACUCCUCUCCCUUAGUCCCUGACCGCCAGUCUGAAGACCACGACGAUCGUGAUCGUCAUUCGAUCCGUGAUCGUUCUUACUCUAGGCUCACUUUUCAAUCCUUAUGCCCUUACUUUGCUGAUGAUUCUAGGGUUUCUCCUUAUAACUCCAAGAUCUCACUCUUCUUUGUCUUUCUAGUAGUUGCUGCUGCCUUGAUCGCUGUUUUUUCAAUUGUUAGACGUUUGGUUAGUUCUCCAUUGCCUCUUUGAUUUGCGUUUCUUGCUGGAUUUCGUCUAAUUUUAUGUGAAAUGUGUGUAUUGCUGUCUGAUUCGUUGUAGCAAUUUCCGUGAUUGAUAAUGGGGAAGGAAUUACUGGCUUUGUUUUUUUUGUUUAUCUAUUGAUUUGGUUUGGGGAAAUCCAAUGCGUUUCUUCUCAUUGCAAUGCAAGGAAUGAGCCGUGGUUCGACAAAUUUCCUGAUGCUAGAUUUGAGAAGCUCGAUGGAAAUGUUUAAACUGUUCUAGAUGUUCUGAUGUUAGAUUUAAGAAGUUUAAUAGGAAUGUCAAAUUGUUCAAGUAGUUUCUAAUGGAUAUGAUUGGUUUCUUCAUUGUAGAAUUCCCCGUACUUGUGUGAAAAAGAUGGCAUUACUCUUCAUUGUCCACCGGUAAGUUCUCGGGAUGUAUCUUCUUUUUCUCAUUCUUGAAAUAUUUUCUAAAGAAAUGGAUUCGCCGCUUUAGGUUAAGGAACGUCCUUCACUCUGGGAGAAUCCCUACUCGGCAACAACAUCUUGGAAGCCUUGUGCUGAGCUUCGUGAUUCUGAAAUCUCAGGUAAUCUUGGUUUAAUAUCGGAGUAUAUAGAGGAGGCUUUAUUCUUUCUACUUUAGCUCUUCCUUUGUUCUUGUACGCUUCGAACUUAGAAUGUUCUUUUGCUUUUGACAGAUCUUCCGCCUGAAAAUGAAACAAAUGGCUACAUAUUCAUCCAUGCUGAAGGCGGUCUUAAUCAGCAGAGAAUUGCCGUGUGAUAUCUCCCUCCCAAACUUCAAUAUUAAUAACCAAAAUUUCCAGGAUUUCUUGUCAAUUAACUUUUCCUUUUCUUGCUUGCAGAUUUGCAAUGCGGUUGCUGUGGCUAAAAUACUAAACGCAACACUUAUUUUGCCAGUUUUAAAGCAAGAUCAAAUCUGGAAGGACCAAACGUAAGUUUUAUCAACCAUUUACACCCACGUUGUCUGCAUGUGAAAUAGAAGCUUGAAUUCUCUGUUGCUAUUUUUUCCCCUAACAUUUCUAAGAUUGUUCUUUUAUUCUAGGUUUUUUAACUCUUAAUGCUUAAUGAAAAAUUGAAAAACAUACCGAUGAUCAUUGUUGUAAUUGUUUGAAAAUAAUCAACCAAGUGAAACUCUUUGCUCAAUGUGGUAAAUAUUCUGCCAACAUAUCAACUCAUUACAGUCACCCUAAGAAUGUUUAUUUGGUCUGCUUCCCAAGAAUUCUUAAGCUUUUCAUUGUUGUCUUCCUUUGUCAAGCUUUAUUUGCCCAAUUGGAAAUGACUAUUUUAGUAGUGUGGAUGUUUGCAUCAAUACUUCUCAACUAGUCCUGCAAAGGCUGUGAUGUUUGUGAUCAGAAAAGUUUAGGACGGUAAAAUAUUAUUGAGACUAGAAAGCUUCGUAGGACAUUGCUUUUAAUGUCAUUAUGUUACAUUUUUAAUGCAAGGUGGGCUUUCUUUAAGAGCUACACUUUCUAGUUUCUAUAUCAAUGAUUGAACGUGAAAUAUCUUUAUACCUCUUAGACAUCUGGCCAAGCCAUGUUGGCACUUUGAUUUUUUUUCAUGGAGGUACUCAUAUGGUCAUUUUGAAUUUGCUUACCUUGGCCAACCCACCGUACAUUAAUUUUGUAAAAUAAAUUUUAUUUUAUAUUUUCCCUUGAAAAACGGCUAUGGAAUUGUUGUUAAUUGUAUGAACUAGUCUCGGCUAGCUAGUACUCUGUGUUUUUCAUUGGCCACUCCCUUAACUCCAAAUAGAUAAGGCAAUUAAAACAUUUGUACGUACAUGUGUUUGAAGAAUUGGUUUUUGGGGUUUCUUCACAAUAAUAUAUUAUGAAAAACAAUGCAGGAAAUUUGAGGACAUUUUUGAUGUUGAUCAUUUCAUUAACUAUCUGAAGAAUGAUGUGCGGGUUGUUCGGGAUAUUCCUGAUUGGUUUACAGACAAAACAGAGCUAUUUACUAGUAUAAGGUUCGUUGAUAUUUGGUUCUUGUGUCGUUUGAUUUUCAUCUUAGAGUUGUUAGCUGCACAUAGACUAUGGGAGGUGUACAGAAAAAUUUUAACUUUUUCCCUCCAGAAAAUAUUGUUUACGGUCAAUUGCUUAAUGUUUAUUUUGUCUGAGCUUUUGUUUAUUGAAGUAAAUAACUGACAGUUAAAUUCCAAUAUAACAUGCCGAUUCUUCCUGGAGCCUUAGCUUAUCUAUACUAUUCCCCUCCAUUCCCACCUUGAAAUUUCGUUACUUAGAGGGCUCAGAUUUUUUUCUUCGCAAGUAACUGGCUAAUAUACAGCUGUGGUGGAAGAAGUUGCUCAUAUGAUAUACAGCUGGCUUGUAAUUGUCAUUGAUCCUUGGAUAAAGUUUAUUGCAGACGUACAGUCAAGAACAUUCCAAAGUAUGCACCAGCACAAUUUUACAUUGACAAUGUACUUCCUCGUAUCAAAGAGAAGAAGAUAAUGGCACUAAAACCUUUUGUUGAUCGGCUUGGGUAAUUUUUUUUCCUUUUUCUUUCAAAUGAAUUUUGCUUUGUGUAUCUGGAUACUCUCUUUUCAUGCAUGCAAUUUCAACCAAAUUAACAUCCUUGGCCUUAUGGUAUCAGGUAUGACAAUGUUCCUUCAGAAAUCAACAGGCUAAGGUGCAGAGUAAACUAUCACGCUCUUAAAUUUCUUCCUGACAUAGAGCAUAUGGCUGAUGUAUUAGCUUCAAGGAUGAGAAGUCGCACAAACAGUUCAAAUCCAUAUAUGUAAGUAUGGUUAUAACGGGAAUGCAUAAUUAAUUAUGCAUUGGAUUUUUGGGUCUAAUGUAAUCUGUCUACAGGGCUCUUCAUCUAAGGUUUGAGAAAGGAAUGGUUGGACUAUCAUUUUGUGACUUUGUGGGGACAAGAGAGGAGAAAGUCAAAAUGGCAGAAUAUAGGAAAAAAGAAUGGCCACGUAGAUAUAAGGUGACCUAGAAAGUAAUUUGUUUUGCCCUAUAUGUAUCAAAUUGUACCUAAAUAUGAAUAAACAAAAGUAGCACAUUUGAUAUCCGUUCUUUAUUUGGAAAUUUGGUUUGCAGAAUGGUUCCCAUCUGUGGCAACUGGCCCUGCAGAAAAGAAAGGAAGGACGGUGCCCUCUUGAGCCUGGGGAAGUAGCUGUAAUUCUUAGAGCAAUGGGCUAUCCAAAGGAAACUCAAAUUUAUGUUGCAUCCGGUCAGGUGUAUGGCGGACAGAAUAGGAUGGCACCACUAAGGAACAUGUUCCCAAAUCUGGUAAAAUAUUUUUGUCCUCUUUACAACUUCAUAUUCCUAUUGAGAAAUGUUCAAGAACUUGCCUAACUAUUCAUGUUUUACUUUCAACACUGCUUAAAUCAUUAAUGUUAGUAGAUGCAUGACCCGGCUCGAGGAUCCAUACCAAGUAUAAGAUGAACGAUAUAAUAAUAGAGAACUUGUGUGACGUUGAUGAACUUGAAAAUCCAAUGCAAUUAAAACUUGAAAAGUUCAAUGAUCCGGUUGGAGUAUCUAUACCAAGUAUACGAUGAAUGAUAUAAAAACAGAGAACUUAUGUGACAUUGAUGAAUUCAAAAAAUCUAAUGAAACUUUCACCAUUUGAUUCAUUUCUUCAAAAUUAUAAGAUUUGACGUUGAUUUGACCAUCUUUUUAAACAAAUGUCUGUUACUUCCCUCUGUUUUUCUCUGAAGAUUUGACCUCAAAGAUUUCACAGAAAUUGACAUCUUUCCAUUCAUACCAACGUUUAAACUUGUUGGAUACUCCAACUCCUUUCAUGUUCUUUAGUUUUGAAAUCAAACCAUACAAUUCCCUGUUCCCUAUUUUGAUAUUUUGAUCUUGAGCACUAACAGGUGACAAAGGAAGAGCUAGCUACCAAAGAGGAAUUGGAUAGCUUCAGGAAACAUGUUACGAGUUUAGCAGCAUUGGAUUUCUUAGUAUGUUUGAAGUCUGACGUAUUUGUGAUGACUCAUGGAGGCAACUUUGCAAAAUUGAUUAUUGGGGCACGCCGAUAUUUGGGCCAUCGUCUAAAAUCCAUAAAACCAGAUAAAGGGCUAAUGUCAAAAUCAUUCGGAGACCCAUACAUGGGGUGGGCUCCUUUCGUAGAGGAUGUCGUUGUCACCCACCAAACCCGAACCGGAUUACCAGAAGAAACCUUUCCCAACUAUGACCUUUGGGAGAAUCCCCUCACCCCAUGCAUGUGCAGAGCUUAACUAGAACACAUAUCAUAUGGGAUUUAAACCGAUUUUUUUGUUUUGGAGAAUCUCCUUCCAUCAACACCAUUUAUUUCUUUAGCAAGUGGAAAGUUUCUUCCCCCAGAAAGAUUGAACAUGGGGUGGCUAUUGUGAAAUGGAGGUUGGAGGAAUGAAAUGGUUGCUGCUGCCUCCUCGUGAACUGCUGGAGAAAGUUGACGAUGCCAAUCUUCUGUGGAUGUGUUUUUUUGUAUCCUUAACGAGAGAACUUGUUUGAGCAGUUUUCUCCAUUAAGGAAUAGAUGAUUUUGCAGGUGUCCCAGUUGUACGCAAAAUGUUGAAGGUCUGGUACGUAUAAUAAGCAACUUCUCCUAGGAUGCAUUAUAUGAACUGCCCCAAGCCCAUGUACCAUUUAACUUCCUUUUUUUCUUUUUCCUCCCUUCUUUUUGUAGUAUGAUUUGACUUUGUUUUUAGUAAAUAUGUUGAUUAACGUUGUUGCUCACAUCUUAUAGAAUAGCAAUUUUUGUCUAUCAUGAAGUUUUUCGUUUAUAGAACUUUGCCUUCGUGGCUGUGAUAUCAAAUUUGGACCUUCCUGAUGCUUUUUUGAGGUCCUUUUUAGGUAAUUUGGGUAUAGUUCAAUGUAUAAAAGACAUUAAUUACUAUUCUAAAGUUUGAUGAUUUGAUUCUAAAGAAAAAGAUGCGCUAUGGAGUAUGUUUCUGAAUUUUGUUUUGGAGAAUGGAUACAAUCAUGGUUAACUGUUUUAUCCUCGUUAAGUUACUCGAUUUUUUUCAAAGCUUUCAAAAUAUUCAUUCGAGAAAUGGGGAGUUAGGUUAUGGUUUCACAAAUUAAAAGUACACUAACAUUUUUGUUACCAUAAAUAGGGAUCUCAAUUGUUUUUAAAAAUUGGCUUAUAGAAUGUAAGGUUAUUGGUGUUCUUGGUCUGCACACAAAAUCACAUUGUCAACCUCCCCUCUCUUGCUCGAAUUCCUCCCAAACAUUCUAAAUUUGCCCGAUUCCAAAAUCGAGCAAAUGCCGUAUCAAAUUCUUCACCUACUUCUUCGUCGUUGUUAAAAAAAAUAAUUAAUAAAUAAAUGUUUCAAUUUGAUCUCUGAAUUUUAUCCAUUUUGACAUUAAUUAAUACACUAUUAAAUUAAUAAUAAAUGUAAAGAGUAAAACCAAGCUAUAAUUUUUUUUUCUGAAACAAAUUGAAAGAAAAAAUUGUAACUUUGAAACUCAAAUUGAUAAUAAUAAUAAUAAUAAUAAAUAAGUAUUUUUCCUUAAAUUUGAUAAGUAAAUAGAAUAAACCUCUUCGAUUACCAAAUUAAUCCCAAUUCGCUAUGAAUCAGUAAUUAAUUAAAAAGUCAACAAAUCAUGCUACCAUAAACCCUCCCAAUCUUCCAAAUACGCCGGUCAUCUUCUUCCCGUUUUCUUUCUGGUUCUGUAGCCUUAAUCUUGUUCUUAGCCCAAACAACUCAACCUUAUCCAACCAAAAUCCCCACAAAAGCUAAGUCCUAACAACUCCCACGCCUUGUUACAUAUAUAUAUAUGGAUCUAUGGACCAUCAUCUUUCACUCACUAUCUCCCUAUCUUUCUCAUGGAGUCCCAUUCCUUAAUCAUUGCUUUCACCACUUUCCUUGCACUCUCACUGACUCCUUGGCCUGCCCUCGCCAAAGACCCUUGUAAUUUCCCGGCGGUGUUCAACUUCGGCGACUCCAAUUCUGACACUGGUGGCUUAUCUGCUGUCUUUGGCCAAGCCCCACCGCCCAAUGGCAGAUCCUAUUUCCCUGGCCCUGCCGGCCGCUACUCGGAUGGCCGCCUUAUCGUCGAUUUCAUAGGUACCCAUUUCCCCUCUCCCCUUCCACAUUUCAUUUUGUUACUUCAUUCUAUUUUCUAGUACUCCGAUAAAAUGUAGCUAUCACUCCUUGGGACAAGACAAGAGAGUAGAGUUGUGAUCUUCAAAUAAGGAAGUUUAAUGCGUUAAGUGAAAAAAGUCGAUGUUUAUUAGUACUUAGUAGUAGUAGUAGGGUAGAGUAUGUAAUCAACCAACAAAGAAAAAUACAUCAAAGAAACUCCCUAAUUUCUUUACUGCUCUCCCUCAAUUUCUCAUGUGUUUGAUUGAAUUAAUUUCAGCGGAAAGCUUUGGGUUGCCACAUUUAAGCGCAUAUCUUGAUGCAUUGGGAGCGAAUUUCAGUCACGGAGCGAACUUCGCGACAGCCGGUUCAACCAUUAGACUCCAAAACAGAACUCUUCAGCAGAGUGGAUUCAGCCCUAUAUCUCUUAAUGUUCAGUACAACGAAUUCUAUGACUUCCGACGUAGAUCUCAAACUCUUCGAAAUGGACGUAAGUUAUUUGUUCAUUUAUUAAAAAAUAGAAUUGAAGCUGUCUCGGUCUAGAUUUCAUUUAUGUUUAACUCUGAUCUCUUGGGUGUCAGUGGGUGGAAUCUUUAAGCAAUUAUUGCCAAAGGAAGAGAGUUUCAGUCGGGCCCUUUACACAUUCGAUAUUGGGCAAAACGAUUUGACGAGUGGUUAUUUUGCCAACAUGACUCUCCACCAAGUUAAACUCUAUGUUCCUGAUGUUCUUCACCAAUUCUCCGAGAUCGUCAAGGUUAGUAAAUGUGGCUAAUUAAUUGCUCCUUUACUUAUUCAUUUUUUGUUGUAUUUUUACGAUGGAUGUGUAGAUUUUUUCGUUUAAUACAGUCUAAGUAUUUGAAUAUUUUAAAAAAAAAUUCAUUUAAGUCUUUACCACAUUGAUAACGUGACAAAAGGUAGAGACAAAUGGUGAGACUUAAAAAUUGAGAAUUUAUGUUAUAUUAAACAUAAAAUACUUCCCUUUAACCUAUAUAACAAUCUAACAUUAAAAAGAAUUAAAACUCAAAGAAAAAGACAAAGACUAAAAUCUAAGCCCUAAUUUGUCAUUUUUCUUACGAUAUUAUUAACAAUGGACCUUACAAAUUGAUCAUCCUCGCGUGCCUUAAUUUAGUGGGUGCACAGUCAAGGGGGAAGAUUCUUCUGGAUCCAUAACACGGGGCCAGUGGGGUGCCUUCCCUAUGUACUGGACCGCGAGCACGUUCCAGCGUCAGACUACGACCAGUAUGGGUGCGCCACUCCUUUCAAUGACUUGGCUCAAUAUUUCAACCGUGGCCUCAAACAAGCCGUCGUGGAACUUCGCAAAGCUUUGCCCGACUCUGCCAUUACCUAUGUUGAUGUUUACUCUCUCAAAUACGCUCUCGUUUCCCAACACAAGAAAUAUGGUAACUUCUUGUUACUUUAACUAAUUCUUUUGCUAAUACUUAAAAUAAAAUUUGUAAUAAUUAUAAAUGACUAAUUUUAGUAUUUUUAAAAUAAAUUAAAAUAUUUAUAAAUUAUUGCAAAAAUUUAUAUUCUAUAACGAUAAAAAAUGAUGGUUAAAAUAAUAUUUUUUAACAAAAAGAAUAUAAGUGUUUGGUUUUUGAAUUUUGAAAAUAUCAAAAUACAAUUUUUAAUUUUUUAAGUAGGGAAGAGUUUAUAAAAUAUAUGCAUUUAAUUUUUAAAAUUUUAAAAUGUAUCAUUUUAGUGUUUCCUGUGAUGUUGAGAUAAUUUUUAUUUAAAUAAUUGUUUUGAAAUUAUCUAUCUUCUUUAAAAUUACUUUUCUAAUUUAAAAUGUCAUUUUUAAUUGUUUAAAAUAAUUUAAAAUUUUACUUCAAUAAUUUUUCGAACCUAUAGUAAAAAAAGCUAGAUGGUUAAAAAAGUAAGUCACAUUUUGAAAAUUUAAUGUCCACAUACUCGUUUUUCAAAACUCGAGAUGGAAAAGAUAAUUUCCAAGUUUAGGUCUAGUUGGUUAGAUGUGUAGGUAGGCACUUGUUAUAAUUUUUUUUAGACAUAAAAUUGAAACUUUAUAACAAUUUUAAAAUGUAAAGAGCUUUAUAAAACUAAUGGUUAAAGAUGGGAAUGAAUUGAAAUGUAGGGUUUGAGUAUCCAUUGAGAACAUGCUGUGGACAUGGUGGAAAGUACAACUUCAAUGUGAAUCUUGGUUGUGGAGGAAAGAAGGAGAUAAAUGGGAAAGAAGUUUUGAUUGGAAAAUCAUGCAAAAACCCAGAGGUUUAUGUGAAUUGGGAUGGUGUUCAUUACACUCAAGCAGCUAACAAAUGGAUCUUUAAUCAAAUUAAAGAUGGUUCUUAUUCAGAUCCACCUAUCCCUUUGAACAAGGCUUGUCACAAAACUUAAUCUUAAAACUUCAUAUUUAAUUAAUCCUACUCUAUAUUAACUAUUACCCACCCAUCCACUGCACUGCACCCCUUUCUUUUCAUCUUCUGAAUUUUUGGUGUUGGUUCCAUAAUUAUUAUAUCAAUAUCAUCUCAACCCUAACAUUUGACAUCACUUUCUUAUACUACAAUUAUUUGGAGAUUUGAGCAAAAUAUAUAUCAAUUAAGGUUGAAUUAUAUCCAUUUCGAUAGAAGAAGAGUAUAAAUUUUCUAGCAUGAAUAUAACUCAUAAUUAAUAAGUAAUUCAUGAUAGGUAAAUAUUAUUUUGAUUUUAUUAUAAAAUUUUGAUUAGACUUGAGGCAAAAUAGAUAUAUAAACAACUAAAUUUAACUCCCAAUCAAAGUUGAAGUUACUAAAAUGAACUGCAGUGAUUGAUUGAUUGAUGUCAUUUCCAAAAAGUACAAGCAACAUCUCAUAUCAAAUUUCAUUUACACAUUUAUAGAGCUUAUAAUAUAAUUAAUUAAUACUCGUUUCAUCACUGAACGAGUUAAAAUCUAACUUCAAUUACACAUAAUAAAAGAAAUGAAAUGUGGUGGAUGAAGUAAUUACCAAAUCCUUUUUAAGUUAAAAUUUGAAUUUCUGAAUCCUCCUUUGUAGUUUAGUUUGUAUUAUUGAAUUUUAAAAAUAAAUAAAAUAGGAAAAGAAAUGGAUUUAUUAGGUAUCGACGUUGAGGUCCAUCUGAUCUGCCCGGCAAAAUCCGUUGCUCAUCAUCUUCCACUCCGUCCGACUUCCGUCUCUUAAUCCUCUGCAUAUUCCGAUGCUACUCUCUUCUUCACCUUCUCUCCAAAAUCCUCUCCAUUCCUCCAAUUCUUCCUCCUCCCUCUUCUUCCCUUUCUUCUCACACAAUGCCCUAAAACUCCAUUCUUUCAUUCGCCUCAAACCAUUCACCUUCAACUGCACUUCCUCCUCCCUCACUGAUACUUCCUCCAUUCCAGACCCUACCCUCCUUCGCCACGUUUCUCAUACUGUACGCGACACUCACGACGAUGGCUCAAUGGUACCCUCAGCCUCUGCUGUCGCCUCCGCCAUUCUCAAAGCUUCCACCUCCCCUGUCGAUUUUGUGCAUAGGAUUGAAAACAGUCAGAAUACUGGGUUGGUGUUGCCGAGUCCUGACUUUCAGAGGCUUUGCAUCGAACAGUUGGAUUUGUUUCGCCGGAUUGUUGAUCCCGAUGCCCUACUCUCGGUUUGUGUUUUCCUGAAAAACCUUUAUUUGGGUUAAUUUAUAAAUUUGAGCUGUUAUGUCGGUUAGCUUAUAGGAAAGGGUUUUCGAUGUUAUUCCCUUUUUUAGGUUUAUGUAAGACCUGCUGGUAGCUAUGUGAUGGACCGUCUUGAGCUGCGUCGUGUUGCAUCUUUCCCAGGGGUUAAUGUUACUGAUGUUGUGAUAUUGGUCGGAAAUUUUAGUGUUCCUACUGGUUUACGUGCUGCUGAAGCUGCUUUUUCCAGUCAGCAAGUAUGGUUUUCUAGUGUAACUGACUGAUGUGUUUUUGGUUUAGAUGGUUAAUCGUUGAACUUUGAAAAAGACUGUUUAAACUGUAGGUUGAAGUUAUCUCAGAGCACAAGGCUAUAGUUUUUCCAAUGGUGAAACACCCAUUUGUCGUGGGGUUCUUGGUUGCCGAGCUUCCGAACCUGGAAAUGGAAACAUGCCUGGAUAUGCAGAGUGCUGAUCGUGAUCCGUGGUCAUACUCAUCUCCACACGAAGCCGGUGCUCUUGUAGCUGGCUCAGGAAUAAGUACACAUGGAUUUCAUAAUGCUACGAAUGGAUCAUUGAAAACGUACAUGUUUAAUGCAGAUAGUCAAGAAAAUGCCUUCCAUAUUUCCCGUUCUCUUGCUAUGGCAUAUGUUAUGGAUCAGGUUGGUUGGAUCUUUUUUAUUCAGUACAUUGCCAUCGAUGGCAAACUUUAUUUACUCUUGUAAUCUGACAAUAAAUCCUGAUUUUAAACGUUGUUCUUCUUAGGUUCCACUUGUAGUUUGUCACGUAAUUUAAGAUGAAACCUUUUUUCUUCUGUAGAAAGCAAUGUUGCUCCAGCAAUCAUCAUGGCAGAACAAUUUGAGGAUGACCAAUCUGGUUGACCAAGUAAGGGUGCUACUUGACUUGUUUCUUCAUUUUGUUCUCACGCACCCUAGUAGCAUGUUAAUUUUCCCUCACAUUUUACUCUAUUACAGAUUCGUGGUUCUCUUUCUAGCAUCCAAAGUUUAAGUAAGAUGUUAUCUGUUCACAUGAAGAAAAAUGAGGUGAUAGUUUUAUUUCUUUUAGAUGCUUGGUCACUUCAAUAUGUUUAUAUGCCGUGUAUUUUGAUGGCACGGUUUUGCAGAUUGCAUAUGAGAUUUUAGAAGACAUACUUUUACAAGGGGAUUAUAUGAGAAAUACUCUUCAACAACUACAGGAUGCUGUUUAUUUGACUAAGGCACUUGAUCUUUCUCUUGCUAUUGUUGCUAAAAUUACCUUGUGCGCUUCAAUCUAUUAUUAUUAUUUUUGAAGUUGCUAUAUCAUUUCACGAUACUCCCUUAAGAUUUUGUUUAUUCGUACAACUUGGUCUGGUUUGCCUAUUGCAUUAUGUUAGCAACCAAGGUAGGGCCUGUUUGGAUUCAUUCGAGAAAAAAAUGUUUAUAAAAAAACUUAAUUUUAUUUAAACUUGUUUAAGUUACACUUCAAAAGCUAUUUUUAGUGAUUACUAAACACUCUGUAUUUUCCCAAAAUGACUUAUUUUUUAAAAUUAAAAACUCGAGAAUAUAUUCAAGAUACACCUGUAGUAUGAGAUGCAAUCGCCUCACAUUGGUGAGAAUGGGACCACCAAUGUGGCACUUAAGUGGCUUGGCUCUCCCACCCCAAUAGCUGGCUUUUAGGGUGUGGUUCUCCAAGGUUCUUGAAUACCUAACACAUUUCAGUUCUAAUCGUUUUAUCAGAAAGAUAAAUACAAACUAAAAGUUGCAGUCCAAUGUUAUAGAAGAUUACUCUCAGUGAAAGGCUGUUCCAUGUUAUUUUUUAUGAAAUGCAAUUACAAGGCUAACAAUUUUUUUUGUUGUUUCUAGGCAAAUAUUGUACACUAUAAUGAAGAAACACUGAAGAAAAUGUACAAGUCUUCAAACCCUUUGUCGGAAUCAGUGAAAAACCAACUGGAUAACUUUCCAACAGAUGCUUCCAACCCUAGGAUGAAAGGGGGGUUAGUUUCUUCUAACAAUACGGUUAGGGACAUGGAGAUGCCCAUGCCACCUACAAUACUUGCUCCUAUUCAACGACAAGGAAUAAGGUAAUGGAUUCCAUGUCAAAUGCCGCAGUAUUAUGAAUACCCUCGGUUCUUUAAAACUUUGCUAUAUCAUGUUUUAGCCAUACUCUGAGUAGUCUGUCUUACAAUGCUUCCUCAUCACUAGGGUCGUUUUUUUGGGGGGGAGGGGGGGGCAAUUUCAGUGAGACUGGAGAUUAAAAAAAAAUCCCCAAACAGUUUACUUGUUCAUCACUAACAGAUAACAUUUCUCAAAUGAAGUCAGUUUCCUGCAUUUGGAAGUUAUAAUAUCAAGUUUACUAAUCUCAUAAUUUUUAAAUGUCAUGUCAGGAAGGUCAUGCAACGUUUCUGAUGUUCUGAUUGAUUUGGUUGAGGCAGUGAAACCUCUAGCACGUAAACAGCAACGUAUAGUAGAACUAAGUGAACAGGCUUGUUCUAUGCAAAUUGCCGUGGAGGAAUCUUCACUGCGUCAGGCUUUGAGCAAUUUAAUUGAAGGCGCGCUAUUGCGUACACGUGUUGGAGGAAAGGUAGAAAUUAUAUCUACUGCAGCACCAGCAGGUGGUGCACUUAUAGUCGUAGAUGAUGAUGGCCCAGAUAUGCACUACAUGGUUAGUGGUUUCACAUUUUUACUUAACUCAUGCAUACCUCUGUUAUGAUCUUUACCAAAACUUGAUGUUUGUUGGUGCAAUUACCUCCAGACACAGAUGCAUUCACUCACACCAUUUGGAGCAGAUCUCUUGUCCAAGGAAAGGGUGGAAGACAACAUGACAUGGAACUUUGUAGCAGGGCUGACCGUUGCUUGUGAGAUACUUGAGAGUUAUGGGUGUGUGGUGCGUGUCAUUUCACCCAGGUGCUCGGAUGCAGCACUCGGAUCUGGUGGAACUCGCCUGGAACUCUGGCUCCCUUCCACUCCAGGUACAACACUGCACAAUCUCGAAAUUCCCACUCAGAGUGCAUAGUGAGUAGAUAGAUAAACUGCCCAUUGUAGAUACAUCUCUGGAACUGAUGAAGAAGUUGCAACUAGUCUAUAUGAGAUUUGAGAUAUGUGAGGUUUUGUAUAGUGUACUGCUAGGCAUCCUAUUAAAAAGUUUGUGUAUAGUAUGGUAUAAUAUAACUAGCACCCAUAACUUGUUAUUAGCUUGCCUGAUUUUCAUCCUAUUGGUAGAUAUGGGGGUGUGUGUGUGCAUAGAGAAUUGUUUUGCAUGGGAGUCAUGAAUCAGCUUCGAAGUUGUAACUUCACAACAAUGAUUUUGAUUGAAUAUUCUUAUGUUGGUCGAAUUCACUUCCUAAAUGAAUAUCAGUUAUUCAAAAUGGUUUGUAAAGAAAGUGAUCAGCUAUUAUGGAACUGAGAAUUAUUCAAUUCUUACAUUUUAAGCAGAGGUCUGAUAAAAUAGUGUAGGUUAGGUUAAUUCUAUAUUGAGUGUGCGUGUGGAAAUCUAAUAUCUGAUUUCGGUAGUCAACUUCACCUAACAAGUGUGGUUUAGACUCUGGAAGGAUUAUUGGAGGUGAUGAAUGUUUGGAUUUCUAACUUAAAAUUUUUUAUGUUUAUUUUCUUUUUUUGUUGAUUUUUUUUGAAGUCUUGGUUUAACAUGCGGUUGACUGGAGCAUAAAAUUUGGGUCAACACAUCAAGAGGUUGAACUAAUUUUUCUCUUUAAAUUCUUUUCAAGGUGUGUAUAAAAAUGUCUCAAACGUGUCCUCAGGUGCUUGAAUUAAAAAAGACAUGAAAAUGCAUUUUUGGAAUGGAGUGUUUGUGUCACGUAGCGCUUCAUUAGUCAUGAUUUGUUCAGAAAAAUGAACAAUCCAAGAACUUGAAGACAGAAAAUCAAAUUGAAUUGUAGAUUACACCAAUGGAAAGUGAUAAUUGAUACGUUCGGGCGUGUUUAUAAAAUGCCAAAGAUCGAUUCACUAAGAUAGAAAUCUUGAAUUGCAUCAGCAAUGAUGUGAACCUCAUAGCUGAAAUUAAUCUAUUAAAUUGAAUUUCUUCACAAUGCUAAGUAAAGUUGGUAAAUGUAUCCAUUCAUAUCUAACAAAUCAAUUAAAUUUUUAAAUUUUUAAAUACAUGUAUCCAUUAAAUACAAAACUGAAAGGUUCAAAAUUUGUAAGAUAUUUUUUAACUUUAAAACUAAUUAGAUACUUUUCUAAGAUAAAAGAAAGCUAAAACUAAUAUUCUAUGACUAAAUUUAUAACUUAAAAUAGAAAACUCUAACCGUACGAAGAAAAAAUUGAUUGAAAGUAUGAAACAAAGUAUCAAAUCCUAUUUUGGUCAUGAACCACUUUUAAAAAGUAUUUUACAAUAUUCUAUUAACUCUUGGGGAUGACGCGAAAGAAUCAUGCCAAAGUUUGUAACAAAAACCACAAGUAAAUAAAAUUACUAAAUCAACCAUAAAUGAUUCAAACUUACAUAAAACAAUAUUUAAACUUAAAAUUCAUUGAAAAUGAUCUAUAAUUGGUGGAGGAAGAAAAAAGGUCCAAAAUAGCUCUUAAUUUUGAGGCAUUUGUAGGGUAAAAUUGAGAGAUUUUGUGUUUGAUUCAUAUAGGUAAGAGAUAUUAUUUUUAUAGGAAAGGUUAGGAUAUUCUAUUGGGACAAACAAGAAAACAAAUUUGAAAGUUUUGUAAGUUUAGUCAUGAAAAUAUAAAUAAUUAAAUUAGUUUCACUUUCACAUCCUUUUAAAGUUCAAAAUUAAAUUAAUAAUAAUAAUUGAUUAUUUAAAAUAAAAAAAGUCAAAGUUGAAUUAAGGAUUGAUUUGUUUAUUUUCCAUUUACAAUAAAUAUAUUGUUUGGUAGAAUAUUCAAAGAUUGAGAUGUCUACUUAUGGAUGCAAUCAAUGAGACCCAUUCACCACUUCUUUUUAAAUCAACAUGCCCUUAAUAUUACAUCAAAGUGGAAACCCACCCCUCCCCUCAUUUCUCUUCUUUUCUUCUUUUCCUUUUCUUUAAUUAAUAAAUUCUUUAUUACUUUUUUUCGCAUCAAAAUAUUUAUAUAUAUAACAAAAUUUUACUUUCAAGUACCAACUACAGCCUUUAUCGUCCAAUUUUAUCAUUUAAAAUAUUUUUAUUAAUAAAUUAAGAGAUUUUUUAAAAAGUAAAAGAAAUCACUAACUAUUUAUUCGAUAUAAAUCAAAACUAGUGAAAAACAAAAUUCAUUACCCUUAAUUUUUUGAAGAGGCAUUUUUUAAAAUAACAAAAUAAAUUAAAAUAUUUACAAAUUAUAGUAAAAUUUUAGAUUUUAUUAAUGAUAGUCUUAUAUCACUUUGACUUUAAAAAUUUAUUAUAUUUUAUAAAUAUUUUCAUCACAUUUAUUCUUUACAAUGAAUUUUCAUACUGUAUAAUCAUUUAAAAAAUAUUUACAUCUUAUAAAAUAAUUUUCAAAUAUGAAAAAAGCACAUUCCAAUGAAAAAUUCAACAAAUGUCAUCGUUGAUUGGAAAACGAUAGUUAAAUUUGUACCGUAAAUCUAAACAAUUUUUAAAAAAAUUAUCAUUUAGAUUUGACUAUUCAAUAUAUAAAAUAUUUUUUCUCAUGAUAUUUUAUAAUCGUUUUAAAAAAAUUAAAAAAAUCUUUUAUAUUUGGUUAUUUGUGGAAGAAAAUAGAAAAUAGAAAGAAGAAAAAAAGAGUACACGAAAAAGGACAAACUUGAAAUAUAUAUAAAAAAAAAAAAAAACAGUCGGUUGUAAUGAGUUUUUUCGUUUAAAUAUUAUGUAAAAUUUUUAAUAUUUAUAAAAAUUAACCUAUAACGAUUAAAAAAUGAUGGUAAAUAGGAAAAUGAUAAAAAUAUAAUAUUUUGAGUAUGUAUAAGGAGAGAAUCUGAUAAAAAUAUUUUAAUGAAAAUAAAAUGCGGGUAGACACUUAGGUGUAUAUAUAUAAUAAUAAUUAAUAAUGAAUGAUUGUAUGAGAGAGAGAUAGGCAGGUGGGAGAACGGCGAGUAGGGCUGAAUGUGCGCAAUGCCCGACUUCGUGCUCCGUUAUGCCAUGUGGGUUUCUGAUAGCAACCCUUCCCUUUCAAUUACCAUUUUCUUCUUCUUCUUAUUCAACUUUUCCUUUAUUCUUUCUAUUGCUUUUUACUUAAAUAAAUCUUUUAAUCUAAUCAAACCCAUGCCUUUCUUUUCCCUAAUUACUUCCAUUUCUAUAAUUAUUAUCUUUGUAAUUGGAUUCUUUUUACUAUUUCUGUUUUCUUAAGACAUGGUUUUCCAAAUCUACAAAUACUUUUCAAAACUAAUGGCUCAUAUUCAUUUCUUAUAAUUUUGUUUGCUUCUCUCCAUUUUAAUUAUUUUAAUUUUAAUACUAGUGUUAUCAAAUUAAAACUAUUUAUAAAAUAUAGAGAAAAAUAAAGCAUAGUUUUUGUUAUAUUUUUGUAAAUACUUUUUCAUCCAUUUUUUAAAACCAUUAUCAUUUGGCUAUAAAUUCAAAUUAAUAUGGUAAAAUUUAGGAGAAAAGAAACACCAUUUUUUAAAAAAAUAAAUUAAAUAGUUAUGGUUAAAUAUAGAAAGUAUGAGUUAGAAUAAUGAUCCAUUUAAGGAAAAAUAGAGUAAAUUAUGGAAUUUGAUGUCAAUGUAACGUUUUGCCAAAACCAUUCCAACAAUCAAACUUAACAUUUGCCAAAGGGUUUGAAAUUAAGCAAAAUCAAAGAUUCAACCAUUUGAAUUUGAGUGUAGAGAUGAACAAUAGCUCCUAUCAUGGUGUGAGAUCACAUUCACUCUCUAUUUUUUUUUCUAAACAACUAUUAAAUAUAUUAGAGACGUACAAACAACAAAAUAAUUUAAGAAAUCAAUAACUCGUUGGAGAUUGAACUUUAAAUUAAAUUGUCAAAAGAUGAAAUCUUUAAACACGAUAACAAAAUUAAUUUAAAGACUACAAAAGCUUGAACCACCGUAUAUCGUUCAUAGAAAUAUUUUCGAGAUUAGAUUGUUUACAUAAGCCAUCAGUUGGCUAAAGAAUAUAAAUGACCUUUAUCUAAUUUUGAAAAUAAAAAUAGAAAGGAAAGGUUUGAAAAUUGAAUGUUACUCAACAUUCAUGAUAAAUUAUUUUGUUCCCUGUAAAUUUUGAUAGGAAGAAAAAAAUAUCAAACCAUCCAUAGUAAUAACAACAAAUAAAAAAUAAAAACAUGAAUAAAUUUCUAUCACGGGUAUACACAUCAAUAUACUAUUAUCAACCUCUAUUAAUAGUAGAUUUAUAUCGUCUAUAUACUUCUAUCACUUUAUAAAUUUGUACCAAUUUCUAUCGAUGUUGAUAUAUUUCUCUCAACGUAGAAAACAUAAUAGAAAAGAUUAAAAUAAACAAAAAGAACCCUACAAAAUAACAACAAAGAUAAAAAGCAAGUCCAUAGUCUGCCAAACAAGAUACACAAGUAUAACUAAGAAACCUAUCAACUCUUUAUUUAUGAAUUAAUAUUUAUAAAAGGAUGAAUCUAGCUAUAUGAAAUAUUAAUGUUAAUUCAGUUUAUAUACACACUAAUGUGACGUACCUAUAUACAUGUAUUAUCAAAUUAAUGGUUUGAAGAACGUUGUUAAAAAUCUUUAAAGCAAAACCUUUUAAAUGAUUAUACUUUUAAUUAAACUAGUAAUUCAAUAAAUACAUGUAUAUAUCACAUACAUUUGUAGUAAAGUUUAAGAUGCAACCUAAUUAUAAAAGAUUGAAAAUACAACUAUAAGUAAAAAUGUCAAAACUAAAUUCAUGGAAGAGAAUAAAGACUUGAUUAUUGUCUUUUUAAUUUCAAACUUUAAUUUAAUUGUUUUCAUUUAUUGGAUGGUUUUAAUUCUUAUAGUGAAAUUUUCAUUUUCAAAGUUGCUAAAACACUAUUUAAAUCAAUUAAAUAUUAUACAAAUAUAUAGACCCAUAACCCUAGGAAUUAAAACCAUCAAUCAAAUUCAUAUUUGAAAGUUAAUAACAAAAAAUUCAGGUUGGUUUGGAUUAUUUCAAGUGAUUCCAUCAACAAAUUAAUUCAUAAGUUCUUAUUUAUUUAAACUCAAUCAAAUUCAAAAUAAGGUGAUAAUCUAAUCUAACCUAACCAAUUUGGUUUUUCUAACGUCUUAACAAAAAGAAAAAGAAAGCUUCUAAAUUACUAAGUGGUUGAAAAAUGGUUAAAAUUGUAUAAUCAAAUAAGUGUAAAUCUUUUUUCAAAACAAAAUAAACAAACUUAUAUUUUAAACCAAACAAAUUUCCAAAAAUACAGAAUCCUCCACCCCAAUAAUGCAGAUUUAAUUAAUAUUAACAUCGAAUUUAAAAACAAUAAAAAGUGAUAAUUAGUUUAUUUGUUUGAAAUAUAAAUUUUAAAAAAAUAGAACAAAGAAAAUAUGAACUACAUUUGUCAAAUAUGCAUAUAUUUUAUGUCACAAAAACCGGCGAUGGUAAUCGGUUUAUAAUUUUAUAAAUUUUAAUACAAUCUCAUUUUAUUUAUUUUUAGAUUUAGUACUUUUGGAUAUUUGAAAUGUCAAUAAUACCCCUAUCUAAAAACAAAAAAAAAAAAAUCGCUAUUUAACUAAUUUUCUUCCCAAAAAAAGAAGAAAAUAAACAACUGAUUAAAAAAACGAAAAAAGAAUAAAAAAAAAGGAAUUUGCAAAAACCCCUUUUCUGUCCCGCUACUGUAACAGCAGAAACCUUAAUUAGAAAGGCCUUGAAAGGUUUUAGCGUGAACAAAUACACAUGAACACACCUUUCAUUUCAAUUUGUUAACACCUCAUUCCUCCUCUUCCUCUCCCGCUCAACAAUUUCUUCUCUCUUCUUCAACUCCUUUUUCACACCCCAACGCCCUGGCGAUCUCUGAAGAAGGAUUUUCCUCGUGAUUCCGAGGUCGCGGAACAGAUCUUUGUCGUUUUUUGAUUCUUUUUAUUUGGUAACUUCUUCUUCUUUUUUUUUUUUCUUUUUAAUUCUCUCUUCUCUAUUUCAUUUCUCUAAUUCGAAAUGGAAAACGUAUAGUGCUGAAAGGUUUUUUUUCUUAAGUAAUCAGUGUUCUACAAUCACCUCCCAGUAAUUGCUGUUUAAGUUGAUUCUUCGUUUUUAAAUCUUUAAGUUACUUCAGCUUUAAGGUAUGGAGUUUUGUGAGUUUUUUUGUUUUUGUUUUUUGUUUGAUCGUUGACUUGUUUAAUUAUAUAUGCUAGUUGCCUGUAGCUAAUUAUUGCUGGAUUAACUUCUGUACUGGCUGUAUUUUGUGGUACUAUUGGAAUGGAGUUUAUUUAUUCUUGGUAAUAGCGGAGACUUUGGGAUCUCCAUGAAUGUCAAAGAAUUUGUUCUGAAGUUUUGAGCUAACUUUAUGUUUGGGUUUUUGGUUUUAAAUCGAUUCUCUUUGUAUCUUUAAUUGGACGCAAGGUUAGUUUUUUUUUCUUUCGUUUGUUGUCUUUCUAAUUUUUUGUUUUACCAAAUUAAUUGAAAAAUGUGCCUCAAGACUCGAGAUCGUCUUUUUGUCAAGUUGUUCAUAUUGAGUUUAAUUGUGUAAAUCAGAAAAGCCGGAUUUUGGGUGCUUGAUUCUUCUCUUCUGUUGAUUUACUCAAAGGAAGCACAUGUGUGAUUGCUUAAGAGAGUCUCUAGUAUAAGUUAGACAAUGAAAGAGCACAUGGUUGCGGAGUUUUCUUUGUUUAAGGUUUACAUGUAUGCGUUGAACAUCCAAGAGUAGGGAAAAGAGAGAAAUCGUUAAAUGGAGGAGUUAAAUGGAGGGGAAGAGGGGAAGAGCCUCGCUUUAUAGAGUACUUGUGAAAUUUUAUAACAGAACCUGAUCUACAGAGUUGUUUCAGCUUUUGUUGUGUGAGUUUUAGCACUGCAAUCAUAAGUUCUUUUGAUCUUAAACGUACUUUGUUUACUUUCCAUAGAAAUUAUGACUAUGCACUGCAGCCACAAAUUAGUCUUUCAUGUCUGUAGGAUUUUCAAAUUUGGAUUUCAUUUGCAGCAUAUUUAGACACAUCUCUCUAUUCAUGUGGUUUAAAUUUUCCAUCCUCUGUCAUGGAAUGCCUUCGUUGUCUCUUGUUUCUAACGUAAGUCUAUUUUUCUCUAUCAUACAGGUCCAUUCUCACUUUGUACAUCUUUGACUAAGAUCAACUUUACAACUUGGAAGAUUGUAGAUAACAUGGGAAUCCUUUAUCGCAGGUGCAUUAUGUGAUAAUUUAAUUGGAAAAAUCAACACAUUUUUUUAUUUCUUGUGUACUGACCUGUAAACCUGCAUUUUUUUUGUUUCAGUUCUGUGAAUAGAAAGCCAAACGAUAGCAUGAGGCUUAUUAUAAUAACUUUUAUGGGAGUAUUUUUGGGCUUUUUGAUAGGAAUAUCUUUCCCAACAUUAUCACUAACAAAGGUUGGUGUUGAAGUCUUAAUGCUCGUUAAAUUUCUUCUCUUUGCAUAACUAUUUGAUAUAGAUUCUUGGGUAUAUACUAAAUCACAUAUGUGCCCUUUGUUUAAUGAUAUUGGCAGCUAGGUAUCCCCUCCGGUCUUAUCCCAAAAAUUGAUGAGAUGUAUAAUACUGACAUAAAAGCAGGCUCAUCUACCCAAACAUCUCAAAACUUUCCAUCUACAACAACUGGUAGUGGAGACAAGAAUAAUUCUCACAAUCGGAAUGGUACCUCAGAGGUAUAGUUUUUCCUAAAUACUUACUUUCAAGUUUUGAUGAAUUAUAACCUUUUGGCUAUUGAUGACCUAUUUUAUGGUUUCUUAAUUAUAUGUUUGGUGUUAGACCCAUAAAUUUCAUGCAAAGCAAUUUUAUUACUGGUUUGAUCAUUCCAAAUAAUUUUGUGGACUUUGUUGCCUGUUUUAAGUUGAAGUAUUUGACCCCGCUGGUACUUUGAAGAAUAAUGUUCAGAUUUAACAGGCUGGCUGCAAGCCUACAACAUAAAUGUGGUAAAUGCUUUAGAAGGUGAAUUAGCUAAAGGUUAGGAUGAAGGCCGACCAUUGCUGUUAAAAGAACCUAGGCCAUAGUAACACCCCCUUGUGCCCACGGCCUAGCAUCGCAGUGUAAAUAGGCCAUUCUGUCAUUGUCUGCCAAUAAACAAGAUUUAAGCUAGGCCAUAUUUUUCGAAAUUGACCUUCUACGCAUCCUUUUUCUUCCUCUGAUUACUAGUUUAUUGGCUUAAGUUUUUUAAGGUUCUAGUAAAACAUGGUAGGGGAUGGAUGACUUAAGUAUGCAGGGAUCCUUACUGAACUAAAUAGUUAUGACUAGACAAGACUUGCCUUUUGAAAUCUUUCCCUUCCAUAUAAAGAAACCUGUCACUCAUGAACUUUAUGAUAAUAUCACAAUUUUGGAGUUUGGGCUCCUUUACUUCAAAUUAUUUGCAUAGUGGGAGCAUGAGAAUAUUGACUUUCUAUGAAUAUGUUAUUUCAACUUCUUGAUCUAGACAAGCUUCUUUAAAAAAAAAUUGUGUAUCUAUAUUGCUAUCGGCUAUUACUUGUAUUUGGUCUUCAGUAACUUGAAAACCUGGUAUGAUCAAAACAUCAAAGCAGGUGCUUCAUUAUUUUUCUUUAUAUAGUUUAUUUGCCUCAGGCUCAUGCAUCCUACUUUCAUCUAAAUAUGAUAUCAUGCAGAUUUGGGUUCCAUCAAAUCCUAGGGGAGCUGAAAGACUAGCCCCAGGAAUUGUUGCAGCUGAGUCAGACUUCUAUCUACACAGAUUGUGGGGUAAUCCCCAUGAGGUGUGUUUUGAUUUUGCACAACAUAAUUAGGUUUGUUGUAGUUUCCUUGUUGUACUUAAUCAGAUAAAUGUUUUCAGGACUUAAAUACAAAACCAAAUUACCUUGUGACCUUCACUGUCGGUUAUAAGCAGAAGGAGAACAUUGAUAAAGCAGUAAAAAAGGUCCAUUUCAUCCCCAAAACUUUAAAUAUACUAUCAACCUUCUCUUUGUGAUCAUACGAGACUGAAUAUGAUUCCUCACAGUUUUCAGAGAACUUCACAAUUCUUCUGUUUCAUUACGAUGGCCGAACAACAGAAUGGGAUGAAUUUGAAUGGUCGAAAAGAGCAAUUCACGUGAGCGCUCGAAAGCAGAGUAAAUGGUAAAUAUUGUUCUGUUACAAUGAAUGUAAUAAAAUUUUUGCUGCAUAUUAGAUGACAAUUUUAAAUCUUGCUUUGAAGGUGGUAUGCCAAGCGAUUUUUGCACCCUGACAUUGUGGCACCUUAUGACUACAUCUUUAUGUGGGAUGAAGACUUGGGAGUUGAGAACUUCGAUGCUGAAGAGUGAGUUAUUUACAGAUGAGCUUAAAAGACACCUGCCUUCUUUCAAAUGUCUAACACUCCUAUUAAUCCUCUUUCAAUCCAGGUAUAUAAAGUUGGUGAGAAAGCAUGGCUUGGAAAUUUCACAACCUGGUUUGGAACCUACCAGAGGGUUAACAUGGCAGAUGACAAAGAAAAGGGAUGGUCUUGAAGUUCACAAGUAAGACUCAUGAAACAACUGUGUUCACUUUCCUUAAAUAUCUGCAUUGUGAAAAUCAUUCAACUAAACCUGAAAUUAUACCAUCAUUGGUUUCUGUGAAUUUCGUGCAGAGAUACGGCGGAAAGGCCAGGAUGGUGCACUGAGCCAAAUUUGCCUCCUUGUGCCGCGUAAGAUUCCCCCAGAAGAAGAAUGUGAAUGCUACCCUAUCUGAUUUUUUCUUCAGCUGAUAGAGUAUUAACAUCUGUCCUUGUUUCCUUCCAACAGUUUCGUAGAAAUCAUGGCUCCAGUUUUCUCACGAGAAGCUUGGCGUUGCGUCUGGUAUAUGAUUCAAGUAAGAACCAACUCCAUUCCUGUCAAAACUUAACUUCACCGCAGUCCAAAUGGUUUCUCUAAUUCCUGUUACAUGGAUCUGCAGAACGAUUUAAUACAUGGCUGGGGCCUUGAUUUUGCCGUUAGAAAAUGUGUAGAGGUCUGUACUCAACUCUCUCCUAUAUUUUGACGGUACUGUUUUGUUGCUAAUUUACCAUAGACUUUUUCUAACACACAAAAUUGUCCAAUAAUCAGCCUGCACAUGAGAAGAUUGGAGUCGUUGACUCUCAGUGGAUCGUUCAUCAAGGUCUUCCUUCACUCGGAAGCCAGGUAAACUCAAAAUCUUUUCUCUCAACCACAUUCCUAAAAAACAAGAGAGUCCAAAUACUAAUCCAGUUUCUUGUUUUUCUCUGCAGGGAGAAACUCAAAAUGGGAAAGCGCCAUGGCAAGGGGUACUCUCUCUCUCUCUCUUUCACACUUAGAUGUUGUGAACUCACAUCACACAAACAAAAGUUAAAAGUUGAAGACUAAGUUGCUUAAUUCGAACUAAUGAUAGCUUAUAAUUUUGUGUAUUUUGAUUAUCAGGUAAGAGAAAGGUGUCGAAAAGAGUGGACAAUGUUUCAAAGUCGGUUAGCAAAUGCGGAGAAAGCGUAUUUCAAGUCAUUGGGGAUUGAUCCUUCAAAUUCACCCAAACAGUAGGACUCACUUAGAUUUUUUACAUCCGUUAUUAGCCACAAUAUUCCCUUACCAUUUCUCACUCCGUUGUGUAAAUUCGUUAAACAUCAUAAUAAUAAUUAGAAUCUUUGAGCUUUUACAUUAUAUUAUUUUUCUCUUAUUUCUAAUAGUUAGAUCAUAUAAUAUUAACUUUUAUCUUCAUCCCUUAACUUAAGUUUCUGCAUUAGUUAGUUAUUUAACAUAGUAUACACACAUUGGUCUAAGAAAUUUCGUUUUCAACUAUCUUUUUCUUUUGUACAUUAUUUAUCGGAUAUUAUAGCAACUUGAAAAUUAGGUGUCAAUUUGAUGGAAAUGAUUAGAUUUGAAUAAGUUUUUGAUCGAACAUAGGGAGAUAAGAAGGAUUAAUUUUCUUAUUUUGGACACUUCACAAGUAAGAUGAACUUCACAAGUAAGAUGAUUAAACUAAUUUGGAUGUUCUCGACCUAUUCAAAACUAAUGUUCUUUUCCCUUAACCUAACAUGUUUCCUUAAAAGACUUUUAAGACUAAAAUCUCAAAUAAAACAUACAAGUAAAAAAGUAAGGUAUGCUUGCAAAUAAAAUAAGAUUAAUAUAAUGAAAGUUAAAAAAGUAAUAUCCAAAUGAAAUUUUGUAACCUUUUGAUUGUGUUCAUUGCAUAUUCUUGGCAUAGGUACCACGUGAAUGUCGUGAUUCAUAUCAUAACAAGUUUUUGAAUCAAUCAAUAAUUUAAUACUUCAUCAAAAGCCUUAUUUCAUUUUCACAAACAAACUUUUACCUCACCCAAAUAUUGUGUGCAUUUGCAUUGCUUUUAGGCUGGAAAAAUGAGAGCCAAGUCAAGGCAUUUCAAAAGAUAAAAAUUAGUAUAUAUGCAGUUGAAACAAGAAGAUGUAAGGAUCUAUAAACAUAAACAAAAAGAAGGCUAUUGCUUGCAAUGGCAUAUAUUCACAUUCAAGAGUAUGCCAGAAGACUACAAGUAUCAUCACACAGCUGUUGCUCUUUUGUCCAUUGCCAGAAAUGAACAAUAUGGGAAUAAGUAUUUUUAGGAUAAAAACAUAUAUCCUAUAACUUUAUAUACAUCAUCACAUGGCUGACUUUUACAUUUUGGUUCAUAAAAUUGUUUUACAUUAUUAUUGGGCAAAGUCAAUGAUGAAAAUCUUUUUAUUUCUCAGAAAGGAAAAGAAAAAAUUCUCUUUUUCUUUUUUUAAAUUUCAUUAGACUCUUUCAUCUUAAACUUACACUCCUUUUCUUUUUAGUUUAAAUAAAUUAAAAAAUAUUUGAACCGUGAACUUCUUGAUCUUCAAUAUACACCAAUAUAAAUUGAACUAAGCUUUUUUUUACAAUCAAAUUGAUUUAUCAAGAAAAAUAUAGAAUGGUGCAAUGUUGAUUCUAUUUAGAAAAUGGAUCAAAAUAUCUUUCAAACAAACAAACCACUAUCGUUAUUAUCAAGGUUAGAUACAAAACGUACCACAUAUUACUCAACAAUCAAUAAAUAAAUAUGAUUAUUUUUCACUACUUUGAGCACUGUACAAAAUUUUGUCUAAAAUGAAUCUAAUAGGAAGGUUAGAAAAAUCCCCAACCUUAAAACAAUACCACUAAUAUAUGAGUAAUUAUAAUAGGUAACAAUUCUAUGAACAUUUAUAAAAAGAAAAAUGCAAAUAUAGCAAAAUUUAUGAAUAAUAAACUUUUAUAGUAUCAAGGAUCAAUAUGAUCUACUAUCGUUAUAUUUAUAAUAUUUUUAAAAUGACUUUGAAAUUAAAUGUUAUUUUUGGGAUUGUAUCUAAAAUAAUACAUAAAUGGUAUUUAAACUUUAAUAAAAUGAUGAUGAAUCAUAUUAUAAAAGAAGAAAAAGAAAAUAAAAAUGAAGGAAGAGUUAAGAUUAGAAAAGAAUGAAUGAAUAAUUAAGAUAAAGAAAAGAAAGUCGAAAAAGGUGAAAAGGGUGAGCCAACAUGGAGCUACUCAAAUCAGGAAAGUUCCUAAAACGUCAUCAUCAUCUCCACCACGUGUCACUUACAAAUUGGUGGUUUCAAUUUCAUACUGACACGUGGCGAUACAGAUGUUCCCUUCAUUCUUCCCAAUGUGUUUUUUAAACUCUAACACUCAAUCAAAACACCACACGUAUCACCUCUUCUUUCCUCUCUUACCUCAACCCCAUCCCUAACCCAACUAACCAUGGUUAACCAUUCAUGCUUAUAUAACCUCAGUCAAUGUAUAAAUUCUAUAUUUCUCUUCUUCCCCCAACCAUUUGGAUACAUACAUAUAUACAUACAUACACACAUAUUUGCAUUUUGGGCUCUUUUUUCUUCUUCUUUCUUCCUUCUUAAGCCUCAAAACCAACCUAUUUCUUCAACCUUGAAACAGAUAGAACAAUAAAAAGAAAAGAAGAAAAAAGUUUCAAAUUUUGAGGUGUUUUUUGAAGAUGGGUCUCUCAAAUUUUCCUCCUUCAGCUGAAGGGGUGUUGCUGUUGCCAGUUUUAGUGAUGAACACUGUAAUGUCAAUGGCGUUUUUGAAGAAUUUUGUGAGAUCUGUUAUACAAAUGAUGAGUGCCAGUGGGAAUUCUUCGAGUUCUGAGGAAGAAUACGAUUGGGAAAAUAGAAGAGAAAGAAGGAUUUCAAUUACUCAGUUCAAAACUUUGGGGCAAAGCUUCAAUGGGGAAACAGAGGAGGAGUUUGUUUCGAGGUGUGUUAUGGCAGAGUGUUGUGUUUGUCUUUGUAGGUUUGAAGCUGAUGAAGAAGUUAGUGAGUUGUCUUGUAAGCAUUUUUUUCAUAAAGCUUGUCUUUCUAAGUGGUUUGAUAAUAAGCACUUUACUUGUCCUCUUUGUCGCUCUAUCGAAUAAUGUUUUUAACAAUUUUAGGGGUUUUUUUUAAAAAAAUUUCUUUCUCUAUCUCUCUUCCUAUUUCAUUUUGAGUGAAAGAGGAUGAAGUUUUGAAACUGCUAAGUGAUAUAUAAUUAAAUUCACUAUACCUACCCAUUGUAGUUUAAGUUUUUGGGUACUGGUGAUUUAUGUUCAAGUCGUGUAAUAUCAUUUCCUCUUUGAACAAAAAAAUUGUUCGUAUCUCAAGCUAUGAAAAAGUGAUUUAAGAGCAAUACCAACACUUUGUUACUUUGUAUUUGUAGUAUUAAAAUAGGUGGGGGAUAGUGGAAGUGUUUCUUUUUCUUUUUUCAGAUAAAUCAUUUACUGUUUUAUUAAACUCCUAGCCAUGCUAAAAAAAAUACCCAUAGAGACCAAUUUAGAAUUAAAAAGGAUUCUAAAUUUCUUAGAGGAGUUGGGCAGUAGCAUAAAAGAAAGAAGAGUAAAAGCAAGGAGGUUUAAUUGGCUUGGAGCAAUUGGGUAGUCACAUUAGAGGCAAUUCCAAAGGUGGGACCUUUUUUCUCUUUUUUUGUCUCAAGUAAAAAAUCUGGUUCAGAACUCAUUCAUGAUUCAACACAAGAAAUGGUAUGUGCUGGCCAAAUUGAUGACCAGAAGUUCAGGAAUGGGGCCUUGUUGGGGUACACAAUUAGAGGAGAAUUUGUGUCAAAUGUUUUGUUACUUUCUCUAUCUAUCCACAAAGAUUUGAAACUUGUCUGUACUUACUUAUAUUGAACCUUGAAGAAUGAUCUGCAACGAACCAGAUGUGUCUUUCUUGUAUCUAUUUGAUUUGAUAUCCCAAAUAUGGAGCUGUUUAAUUCCACCAUCAUGCUUCAAUUCUUUUCUAAAGUGUUAUCAAAUCAAACAAAUAAAAAUAAGCAAAAAAACAAAAGAAAAAAAAGAGUAGAAAAUCAUAUAAAGAUUUACAGUGUUUACUAAUAAUUGGUUAGGUCUACAGGAUCUACAGGAUCAAAAUGAUUGAUGGCAUAAAUAUGACAUGUAUGAAUACAACUCUGAUUCAAAACAUUAACCUUAUGACAAAUAUCCAAUCUUAUUGGAACCCUGAAAUUCUUGGCCACUCAUUUGAAGCAGUAAUAUAAAUGAAGAUCUUAAGUUAAAUAACUUCUUUGAUAUGAGUGACUGUCUAUAACCCAAAAGAAACUGUCAUCUUCAUGGCCCAAACAGACAGACCUGAAACCUUUGGCCAAUUAGAAAGAAAUAAUAACAUAAUGGUAUAUGAAGUCCACAGUUUAAUUAUUUUUUAUAAUUCUCAUAGUCAGUGCCAUAAAAAGACUAACAUAAACAGUCUGUAUUAUUGCUGGAACUUUGAAAUGUUCACAUAGGAACUAUAAAUAUUUUAACAAUUGCAAGGAGCUCUGUAGCAUCAGAGCAUUAUUGGGUCUUGUGAAUAUCACCAAUUGGAACAGUUUGUUUCUAUUAGAAUUUAGAAGUCAAUAGACAUCUGGUUUUGCUUCAGCCUAAUGAACUCUUCGGCCUCAUCAUUGAUAUCAUCCGUGUAGAAAUGAGCAUGGUGGUGUUUAGAAGUCUUGUGAACAUCAGAUACCUUGUUAUUGCCGUAGCUGAAUGUUACGUGAGGUUUUUGGUUUUUGUGGUACUUUCGAGUCUCGAGCACAGAGUCAGAAAUGUAGCCACCAUAGUCAUCUGAGGAAUGAGUUCCAUGAUCAACGUUGAACUUGAGCUUAGAAUUUCUAAAAGACAUUUCUAAUCGGCUAGAGAAGCAAAUAUGAUGGUUUCUUUUUUGUGAAUGUAUAUUUGAAUGCCUCGUAAAGUGGUCAUGUAAAGAACAAUUUUAUUCCAUGAGGAUGAGAUUUGAAUCCAAUACCUUCUCCUCUGUUGAAAGAAGGGGUCACAGUGAGGUUUUUUCAUUUUAGGUGGGAAAUGAAAGAGACGUCGCUUAAAAAGCUGGGGUAAAAGUUAUUCAGUUCAAGAAUAUCCAGAACUUUGAAAAGGCAAAAUAAAGUUAAAAGCCUUUUUGUGGAAUAAUCAACUUGAAGAAGACACUUCUCUAUUAUUUACAACUCAUGUAACACAGAAACAAACCUUACAAGGUUUCCAUCAUACCAAAAAAUCUGACCAGAUUUGUCUCAAGCAACUGGUUCCAAGAGUAAAUUUGGUCAUUUAGUUUGCAACUAGGACAGUAAAUGUCCACAUCAGAAAUAACAUGUCAUUGAUGGAAAACCUACCCAUCAGGCAGCCUAAUAAAUAUC
rnacentral:lncRNA from 1 species